rnacentral:lncRNA from 1 species
AAAAAAAAAAAACUUUGAUCUAAGCUUUGAGGAACUAAAGCAUUUACCUUCCAUGGGUUCUGAAUUUUUCCCCUAUUUUUUUUACUGGGUACCCCUUUGUUUUUUGUUUUUCCUUCAAUAUUUGGUCCUUUGAUUCGAUUUCAAAAAGGGAACCACCAUUUCAGCGAAUUCAAAAUCUGGGUUUUCAAUUUUGCAAUUCUAUCUUAGUUUUAAACAUCAUUUCAAGAGAUGGAAAGAGAGAGGUGAAUAGAAAGAUUCUGAUUGGAAAAAUGAAAAGAACGAAGAAGAAGAAGAAGAAGAAGAAAAAAAAGAAGGGAAGUGUUUGUUUGUUUUUGGGGUGUUUUUUUUAUAUUUAUUUUCUUGUUCAUUUCCAUUUUGUUUUCGAUUAUUUGAAGAAUUUAACGGUUGUAGUUUUGUUUUGGUUUUGGAUUUAAUUAAAAACCCAGAUUUGGCUUUUGGCUUUUCUUUUUUCCUUUUUCAAUGAUUUGUCCAUUCUUUUUUUAGUCACCAUUUUCUUCCCCAGAAAAAUCAAAUUUUGUUUACCAGUAGGGGUCAAAAGAUUAGAAGUCUAAUUUUGCUACUAUUCCCUUUACUUUUCAAAUAUUUAAAAUUUAGUAUCUCCUUCAAUUAUGUAAUUGAUAACCCUGUUUAAUUGGAAACCCUUGCACGAGAAGUCAGCUUGCAUUUUAACUUCUUCACUAAAAAAUAAAUAAAUUAACAUGUUAGAUGAAAGAGUAAAUUUGUUCUUUCUAUUAAAAUUUGCAUCCAUUUGUUAAUGGUAGAAAUGGAUAAAAAUUUUAAUAGAAUGACCAAUUUACUUUUUGAUCUACUAUAUAGGGACUAAUUUGCUCAUUUUUUUAGAAGACAAUAUGAAAUCCAACUGUAAUUUAUCGAUUAUAUGAUAUUUCUUUUUAAAAUUUUGUUCAUGCGACCAACAUAAAGCCUUGGGAAAAUAUAAAUAAAUUGGAUAAAAGUACUAUAAAGGCUAUUAUAUUAAGAGUUGAAUUGCAUUUUGACUAAUCUACUUUAAAAAAAAGGGCAAAUUAAUCAUUAUAUGUUAGAUCAAAGAGUAAAUCAGUCAUUCUGUUAAAAAUUUUACCCAUUUCUACUAUUAAAAACUAGUCUUUAUAUGUCAACACGAGGAGUAUGCACGUGCCAUAGGUUAUUCUAUCAAGCAUGCCAGUUUUUAACGGUAGAAAUUAAUGAAAUUUUUAAUAGAAAUGAUCAAUUUACUCUUUAAUCCAAUGUUCAAGAACUAAUUUACUUAUCUUUUUUAGUAGAAUAAGCAAAAUGCAUUGUAACACCUAGUAUAAGGACCUCCAGGAUAUUUUGACCCAUCAAUCGAUUUUCAUUCUACAUCUCUAAAAUAAUAUUAAACGAUCUUAUAAUCCCGUAUUCAAAAAAAAAGGAAGUCCUUUUUUUUAUCCAUUAUUUGUGUUUUUUUUUUGUCUAAUGUCAUAUCUAAAUUUGCUAAAAGUUAUACAUUUUUGUAUCAAGAAGUAAUUGUGUUAACAUUUUAGUGUUUUGUUUGAGAUGUUGAUAUGAUGAAAGUUAAUUGCUAAUAUUAUAGGUUCGAAUUUUUCAUGAUUUUAUCAAUAGAAUAAAUUUAGUGUUAAUUGUGGAUUUAUUUAUUUAUUUGUGUUUAAUUUGUUAAAUAUAAUCUAAUGGUUAUGUGUGUUUUAGUUUUAUGGUUAAUUUUAGGGAAAAGUACAUCAGCAGUCACUGAACACUGAUUAAAAUAACAUUUCAGCCACUAAACUUUUAAAAGUGACAAAUCAAUUACAAACGUUUACGAAAAGUGACAAACAAGUCACUCGAGCCCAUUUUUUGUUACAAAUGUAAUCAAAAGUUGACGUGACAUUUUAAGGUGCCACGUUGGACAUGACCUAAUGUCCGUAUCAAAUGCUUUUAUCAGUUUAUAAGGAUUACCAACUAAAUAGAGGAAACCUAGCUGGAAGAAGGAGAAGAAAAAAAAUGGAGAUACCCACUGUAAUUUUGAUGUGCUACCAUGGAAACUCAGCCAAUUUAAGGACUUCUUGGUCCAAUGACAACCCAAGUAGGAAGUUUUUUGGGUGCAAGAAGUAUGGGAGUGGGUUUCAAAAUGCAUGUCAUUUUUUUGCCUAGGUUGAUCCACCAUUGAUGCUCCGCUCACGAUUCAUGUUGUUGGGUCUUUUGAAAAAAGUCAGAACAAUGGAGGAUGCAAGGAGGGAGAGAAAAAUAUGAUUGAUGAUGUUGUUUUCUGUAAUUUUGUUGUGCUACUCGUUACAAUUGAUAGAACACCUUCGGUUGGUUCUCUUCUAUUAACCAUUCCGACAAUGUUGAAAAUUUGCAUAAUGAUUUCCCAAUUUCGAAUAAUUUCAAUCCCUUCUCCAAUGAUUCCCUUAAAAUUUCAAUCGUUUUUCUUUUUCUCCUAAACGAUUUUUUUUUAUUUAACCAAAUUGUUUUGUCUUGUCAGUUUCUUCUCAUGCUUUAAUUGUUUUUUUUUUGCACAUUAAGUUAAUUUUUUUCGAAUCACACCUUGAAAAUUAAUUACCCAUUAAAUGAACUUUUAGCCAUGUCCAACAUGGCACCCUAACAGGCUACAUCAAUUGUCCCAUUAGGCUUGUAAUAGAAAAUGGGCUUGAGUGACUGAUUUGUCAUUUUUUAUAAACAUUAGUGAUUGAUUUGUCAUUUUUAAAAGUUUAAUGACUAAAAUGUUAUUUUAAUUAAAGUUUAGUGACUAAUGAUUUACUUUUUCCUUAAUUUCAUGAAAAUUAAUUGCAUGAUAGACAAGAAUUUCAAAUCAUUCUUCAUAUAUCCAAAUCUAUAAAAUUCCAAAUUCUCUUUAUUUAUAUAUAAAAUCAGAAUUGAUUGGUGGAUUCAGAUAUUCGAAUCCAUAUCCACAUUCGUUAUUUGGAUAACCAAUGCAGAUUUAAAUAAUAGAUAUCUGAAACAAUUAUUUUCAUCUGUCUGAAUAUGCAAUAAACAAUAUUUUUUUUGAAUAAAACUCGCCGGUAUUAUUAUUGCACGGCUCAAGGCAACAGACACGUCUGAAAAGAUAGGCACUAGAAGAAAAAGGAAACAGCUGUCUAAGCAGGUAAUAAAUGAACUCCUAGAAACUACCAAUAAAAGAAAGCAGAAAGAUAACAUCUUGAGCCAAACCUCUUCAUCUUCAAAAUAUCAGCCAAGCCUCUCUCCAAAAAUUGAAAAUCGGAGCCGAGUAAAGGAGAGAGCAAAAGCUUUGAACACCACGUUGGGGAUUCAUCGAACCUUCUCCAAUUUCAAAGCCACCAAGGGGAACCUUAGAGACUCUGGAACCAUGCCAAUCUGUCUGCCGUCACAAUCUUUUUCACCGAUUCAGGAACGCCAUUACCCCAUCCACCACAAAUCUGUCUUCUCCGGCCUUCCAAUGCAAGAGUAUAGGCUGCUCCGUUAACCAUUCGGGGCACAAACAGGUAAGAUACCUCAUCAAAACUCAACCCCAUUUUGCAAAUAUGUUGAGUAAUAGGCCUAAGAACCGAUUUGUCUUCCCCCUCCCUUCUUAAUGCUCUUGAUAACUGACAAUGAGUCACCUUCUACUAGCAGACGCCGAAUGCCCAUCUCAGCCGCGUAGACAAUAUUUUUAAAAUUCAAGUUCAAAUAUAUAUUCUUAAUCUAAAUUGUGACCCCACAUGGGUAGACAGUAGAGUUUGUUCAUAGUUCGAACAAAGCUCGGUUUCAAAAAAAAAUUUAUGCCCAAACUUUUUUUUAGGUCUACUCAACUUGUCUAAAAAGUUCAUUUUAAUAUUCAAAAAUUAAUAAAGUAUUCAAAAAAUAUAUUUUUAAUUGAUAUUUUAUAUAUUUAUAACUAAUUUUAAAUUUUAAAAAUAUUUUUUAUUAUUUAAAUUGAAAUCAAACCAAGUUGAACUCCCUUAUCCAAUCCAAGCUCAAGUUGAGUCGGGCCUAUCGAGUUGGAUGGACUACCCUACCCUUAAAUAAGUUUGGUAGGCAACUAUAUAAGGCCAACCCUACCCAUUGGGCCUCACUAUACAUUUUUUUUAUUUGGAUUUAAAAUAAAAUAAAAUUUAAAUAUUCAUUUAUCAUUAAAAAUUAAUAAUUCAAAGAAUGGAUUUUCAGUUUUCUUGAUUUAGAGAUAAGAUUGUGGUUCUUAUAUGGGCCCAUAAUCCAUACUGGCCCAUUUAAACACAAUAUAUAUAUAUAUAUUCAUGUACUCGUAUGUGUACCAAACUCUCGAUUUUAUAUAAGUAGCUAACAACGAUUAGUCUUAAAUUGGUUAGUGUCGACUCUAUUAAAAUAAUUUUCACGUCUAGCUUGCUAGAAAUUUUCUAACACGUUUUAGACAUGGUGGACCUUAAUGAAUUUAAAAACAAAGUUGUUGUAAUCAUCGCCAACACCAUCCACCCUACCUGGCCUAUUAAGGGUGUGAUACAUGCUUCUUCUCUAUAGGCAGAGUCUAAACACCUAUCAUGGCAUAACACAACAACAUCAACCAAGGUAAGAUUUGGUACAUAAUCACAUUUAUAAUUUCCAAAUGGUGAUAUACCAAAUUCUAGUCAAGAUAUUCUACGAACGAAUUUCUAUUCAUCACUUGUCAAUAUCGAUAUUAUAAUUUCCACAUGUUUAUUGUACUUAAUUUUGAUAAAUUAUUUGAUUUUUGAUCCAGUGUAAAAGUAUGAUCGGAUAGUCAAAAAGAGACGGAAUCCGAACUGUCGUAAAAAUUUUGAGCUACCGUGACAUAAUUUUGACAACUUUAUUUUUGGGAAUUUAUUUAUAAAAAAUAAUAUUUAUACUUUUUAUUAAGAUAAUAUUUUAAUUUUCUAGUAUUUUAUCUUUUAAUUUUUAUUGAGAACUUUUUAAUAUUUUUUUCUACAUAAACCCUAUACGUUUGUUUUGGAGAAUUGCUUUCAAUUCAUCUCCUUUCCCUGAUUUUCAAUUACGUUCAUUUUGAUUUACUGAAAAAUAUAUGGUUGGAUUCGUAAGGAAAUAGCAAUCAAAUCUAAAUGAUCUGUGCGGUUCGAGUUGGGAUCAUGAGUAUAAUUUAUCGUAAAUUUAUCUUGUAUUUUAUAUCUUAUUUAAUUUUUAUUAUAAUUCAUAUCUACGUAGCCAAUCCCAAACAAAGCGUCACUAUUGUCCUUAUAUUGGGCCCAAAUUUGUUAUCUGUACACCAAGUGGAGUGAAAAAUAAUUUUACCCAUACCUAAUUAUAGUGAAGUUUUUUUUUAUUAAUAUUUUUACUUUUAAAUAGUAAUAAAUUCGAUCACGUUUAAAUAAAUCUCGAGUUUAAGUUUAGUGGAUUGAAAAAAUAAUAUUGCGAGAGGUUUGUCAAAACAAAUCGAAUUUAGACUACUAAAUAUUUUCCUGUAAUUCUUUAUUUUUUAUAUAAAAUAAAUUUUUUAAAAAAACUCUUAAUAAAAGCUCUCACAUUUUCUUUUGAAUAAAAAAAAUGAACUUUAUGUCUGAUCAAAUUAAAAAAUUAAAUAUAAAAUAUUAUAAAUUUUAAAAAAUAACAAAGUAAAGCGGAGCCUUGACUCAUAUUCCAAACGAAUUUAUUUUUUUUCCUCAAAUUCAUUUUUCAAAUUUAAUAUUUUUUCAACGAAGACUUCCCAAUAAGACAUUUUUAUUUCUAUUUUUGUAAUUCUUCCAUUUUGUUUGGAAUUGGACAUUUUUUACAUAUUGUAUAAAAUACAAAAUUCCCAGAUCUGGCAUGACAGUCCGUGACUGACCACUGCUCUACGGACCAAUCAAACACUGACACGUUUUGUUCUAUUAAACAUACUUUCACUGACAAUUUUCGUAGGCUUUCCUUUUUGCAGUAAAUCCAAUGCUACUUCUUACUUCUUACAUCUUACUGUCCUCAAACUCGCCCACUUGCACGCGCCAAACUUUUUCCUUUUAAGGUAAAUAUACUCUUUUGCGCCUAAGUUGGCAUUAAUGUUCAAUUUGGUACAUUUAUUUUUCAAAUUAAUAAAGGAUUUAACUUUAGUCACACGUAUAAUCACAACAUUAAUAUUUCCUGUCAAUUGUAAUAAUUGGUGCGAUAAUAAAUUUAGCCAUUGAUGUUUUAUAUAUUUCAUGUAGAUAUUGAUAGAAUUUGUAAACGUUACGGGAUAGAUUUGUUAAAUCAACACCAAAUGUUGAUCGCUAUAAUUAAAAAUUUAAACAUUGAUUUUUUAUAUUAUGUGUAAAUGUUGUGAGCUAAAUUUAUUAAAUGAGAUUAAAUUGACAAAAUGUGUAAACUUCGAGAACUAAAUUUAUUAUCAUACCAACAUAAAAAUGGACAAUUGACAAAAAAAUCGUUAAACAUUGUGACUAAUUACCCUUAAUCGUUCUCUUUUAAAAAUCGAUAGAAAUUAAAUUGCACUCAUUAUCAUACUCAGGAGCGUAGUUGUGAGGCUGGUCAGGGCCUUGGUCCCUACUAAAAUAAAAAAAAACUUCUAAUCUAUUAAAAAGGUGAAAUUAUAUUUUUACUAUCAUAAAAAUUAAAAUUUAAUUUCGGCCACUUUAAAAAAAAUUCUAGCUUUGUCCCCUAAUCAUAACAACAACAAAAAAUGUACAAUUGACAAAAAAAAUUUAAAGAUUGUGGUUAAUUACCCUUAAUUAUUCAAUUUAAAAAAUCGAAAGAACUUAAGAUGCACUUUUUUUUAUUUAAAAGGAUCAAAUAUUUCAAAAUUAAAAUUACGAAGCACAGAAGAGGUAAUUUUACCUAAUUAAAAAUUAAGAAGAUGACAAAGCAGGAGCACGUGUAAAAAGUGGGAUCAAAUAGCGAGUGAGAUUGAAAGUAAAAGAGAAAAAAAGAAGGUUAGUACGGUAAAGAAAGACAAAGACAGUGAGAAGAAGAAAGAUCUCGCGGGUUUUAUGAACCGGUGUGUCAUCUUCGUUGGGCUCGAGGUAAUAAACCCAACCAAUCUCUUUGUAGGGACAAAAAAAACCGAACCAUAUUAACCUCGACAUGUGAACCCUAGAAAAACCUAUUAUUUCCCUAUAAACCCCCUAUUCUACAUUUUUUUUUCCAACUUAGAUCUGUGCUGUAAUACAAUAUCACCACAGCUCUUCUACUUUUCUUCCCCCACUUUCUCUUCUAAACGCGUGUCUUACCACACUCUCACUAUCAGAUACAAGUUCGAGUCGAAUUUGAAUUUUCACGUGUUCCUAUUAAUAAUAUUGUCUUCAAAAGUCGAAGCUUGAGUUUAAAUAAUGAUCAAAUCGUCUAUUCUCAGUUUAAUUUGUUCAAGCAUCAAUUUUUUGUGGUUCACUUAAGGGCUAGUUCAAUAUUUUGUUCGAAUAAUUGAUUCGAUUCGAUCUGGUUUCAACGACACUAAUUUUUAUUAAGGUCACUGAAUUAUUUGAAUUAAAUAUUCCAAUGUUGGAAUUUGGGUCAAUUAAUAAUUAUUGAAUUGAAUUCGAUUUUUUUUUUAAAUUAAUAAAUAUAAAUCUUUUAUAUGAUAGGGGAGUUGUCUCUUUUGUGGAAGAAAGAGGGUGGUUGGGGUGUUGUUUGUUGUAGGGAAACUAUGCCCAUGACUAUGGAAAUUUAUAUAUGUAUAUAUAAUAAAUAUGAAGAAAUGAAGAAGAAUGGGUUUUUUACAUUAAUGAUACAGAAAAUAAUAAUAAUUAUGAAAAUGGAAUAGAUUACAAAUUAUUUAUGAGAAUAAAACAUUUUAAAUUGUAAAGGUCGAUGUCCCUAUUAUGUUAAGCGACAUCACUUAUAAAAAAUAAUAUUUUAAUAAAUAUAAAUAAAUAAAAUAAUAUUUUGAUUAUAAAAGGGUGCUGUAAAAAAGAGUAACCCUUUUUUAAAUGUCACCUUUAAUUUUUUUAAAGGUAUAAUAAGAUAUUUGGUCUUCAAAUUUUACAAAAAGAAUUAAUUUAGUCUUUUAUUUAAUUUUUUGUGUUUUUUAUCAAAUUAUUCUAAAAUUGAUGGAAAAAUUAACGUUUUUUUAACUUUGAAGACAUGACAUACAUAUAAAUUACAACUUGGAUGAAAUGUCAACGUUUAAUUAAUUUUUUAAAAUUUUAUAAAUAAAUUAUGCAUGUUAACCACGUGGCAAUCUAUGUGUAUGUUACAUCACUUAAGUUACCAAAUGUCAAUUUUUCUAUUUAUUUGGGGUGAUUUGACAAAAAUGUAAGUUUAAUGGUUAAAAAAGACGAAAAAUUAAAUAAAUGACUAAAAUAAUUUUUUUAAGUUGGAGGAUCAAAUAUGUUAUUAUGUAUUUAAAAAUAAAAAAUUACAAGUAACAAUAUCCUUUUUAUAAUUAAAAUAUUGUUUAGUAUUGUAUAUUUAUUUUUAUUAAAAUAUUUUUCUAUGGGUGACGCCACUUAAUACGAUAUCAAUUUAUACCUUACAAAAUAACUCAUUCUCGUAAAUAAUUUAAUUUCUAGUGUAAAUAAAUUUUUAAAAGAAACAAGAAGAAUGUAGCAAAUCCCUAGAAAAUGAAAAUGGAUGGACAUAAACAAAAUAUUCUUUUAUAUCUGGAUUCUGCAAUAUUUCUUACACAUUAAAGAAUAUUUAAAUACAAAUAUAUGAUAUAAAUAUGUCUUUUCUUUUUUUCAAAAUUUUAUAUAUUUGAAAUGAAAUCCUCGAAAUAACAUAGUCGUAAAAUUAUUUGUUGAAAAUAAUGGUCAGAAUUGAUGAAAUGACUUGAUUGAUAUAAUAUCGAUAUUUUAAUAAUUUAGUUUAGAAUUGUUGGAGCUGUAUAACUCAAAUUUAUGUUAAAUAAAUAAUACAGUGAUAAAAUUAGGGGGUUAAGGCUGAACAAGUGAAAUCUAUAUAGAAUUAUAUUUCUUCCAUUUGAUAUUAAUUAGAAUAAGGUAUUCCAACCGUACUAUACUGCUUUUAUUUGACAUUGAUUAGAAUAAAGUUUCAAUUUUUAAAUAGAUGUAGUCGAAACUUAUCUUGUAUUAUUUGAAUUCAACAUUUGUAAAUUUUCUUCUCCUCUACCCACGUAAAAAUGUCUGUGUGUGUUUUUUUACUUUAUUUUUUUUUUGUUUUGCGAUCAUUCUAUUGCCAUUAAUGACUUUAGUUUUAACAAUAAUCUUUUUAAAUUCGGAUAUAGUAAAAGUACAAUGGAAGCUUUUGUAUUAAGAGUUAAAUUGCAUUUUGUCCCUUCUACUCAAAAAAUAAACAAAUUAGCUUUUAUACAUUAAAUCAGAAAAUAAACUAGGCAUUAUGUUAAAAUUUACGUCUAUUUUUAAUAUUAAAAACUAAUCUUUAUACGACAACAUAAGGUACAUAUGAUAUGUCACGUGAAAUUGUCUAAUUAUUUCGUCAGCCACACUAAUUUUUAAUAGUAGAAAUGACGAAUUUUUAACAAAAAAGGGUUGAUGCACAUAAAUUAAUAUGUUCAUAUUUUAAGUAAAAUAGUCAAACCGCAAUCUAACUCUUAAAAUGUGAUAAAAUACUAUGUUAUAACCUUUAUUUAACUCUUAAAUAGAAUAAUAAACGAGCUUCAAUGUAUUUAAAUUUAUAUCGCCGAUACUAAUAAUAAUACUGAUAUCAAACAAAAUUGAUGAAAGAUGGGGGAUAAAGGGAUUUGAUUAAAAUUUUAAAUUUUAUUUCAAUGGAUUUGAUUUAUUGGAAACUGUUUAAUGGUCAACGGUGGAAAGAAGAUGGAACGUUUGAUGAGAUAUUUUGUUUGACAUUUUGGAAUUAAUGUGUGAUGUGAUUGCCCCAAUCAAACCAUACCAGCUGGACUCCAUCCAUCUUUUGAAAUAUCUUCUUUCUUUCAUGAAAUCACAAUGUUUAACACCUUGGCAUUUGAAGGAUUAUUUACAAACAUCAAAGAUACCCUAUCAGGGGUAUGUUUGAAUUUUUCUUUCUAAGGACUUAUAUUAAAUUUUAUAUAUUUAUAAGAGUUGAAAUACAAUUUUAUUGUUACGAUAUUUUUAUAGUUUUUUAAAUAAAUUAAAUUAAAAUUUUAUUAUAUUUCGAGAAGUUAAAUUGUAAUUUUAUGAUAUAUUAACUUAUAAUUUUACCGGUUUAGUAGAAUUUAAAGAACCAUUUUUUAUUUUAAGGAAGUUUUGUCUCUUCGUUAGAGGUUUUCAUGAGUUGAAUAACUUUGAGCUAAAUUUGAAUUUAUAUUUUUUUUAUCUCAUGUCGACUCAAUUUAAUCUGUUUUGUUAUUUAGAAAUAUAAUUUUUAACAGUCCCAUUAUCUAUUCUAAUAAUAUUUGACUCUUUUUAACACAAUACUUAAAGCUACUUAAAACCGCUCUUUAACUCAUAAACAGAAAGAUAAAGUGUUUCAGUACACUCGAACCCCCCAGUUAUUUGUGCGAAUUUGAAUGAAUCUAAGUUAAAAAAAAUUAAAAUCGAAUCUAACCCAGUUAAAGAAUCCUCUCGAUUUCAGAUAGGGUUCUGAUCAUAUCUGUUAUUUAAUCUCUCUCCAAUCUGUAAAUAUCUGUAAAUAGGAGGAUAAUGCGUUACAUUGUACUCAAACCCACAUCUUUUUACAUUGAUAACAAUAUCCAUACUAAUUUAACUAUGACUCAACCAGCCACUAAUUAUUAAUUUAAAUAUUAAUUAUACAAUUAUAUCAACCUCAUCAAUUUAAUUUAAUUUGGAAUCACUCAUCUAUGUUCAAGAAAUGGGUUUCCAUGUUUAAAUGUUUUGGUAUUAAUAAAGAUGUGGGUUGAUAAUGUCAUCAUCAAAUAUUUUUGGAAUUUCACUCUAUUUAUGUGUAGUCUAAUUGAAGAUGUGACAUUCUUUGAUGAAGAUUAAAUGAUUAAUUAGGGUGCUUUUGUUUAAUUAAUAUAAUAAUCAUGUGAUAAUUGGACAUAUGUUUUGAAUUAACUUAAUUAAAACAUGACACAAUGGGUUUGUAUUAAGUUAAUUAAGACAUGAUUUGACAUGUUUAAACUUCAGUGUGGAAAAAAUGAUUUCCUUAGGUUUUAUUAUGUGACCCACGUGCUCUUAAAGUUGAUGAAAUAAAUAGAUGGUGUUGAUUAAUUAACUAGCAAUAAUCUAAUUUAAAUCAUAAGCUCACCUAAUCUUAAGAAUAUAUUGAAAUUACGAAUCAUUAGGAUAGUAAUUACACCUCAUCAUAAUUACCACGUGUUUAAUUAAUAAAGUUUAUCGUGAUGAAUUAUAAAUAUGUAAUUUUUUCGAUCAUUAAACCCUCGUGAGAAUUUGAUUAAAUAAUUGGGAUACUACAAUUACAAUUAAUUCAAUGAGAUUUACUAAUUGUAAUAGAUACACAAACAUCGUCGAUUGAUGGUGGAUUUGGAUGGGAUGAAUUUACUUGCAGAUAGUAUAAAAACAAUAGUGGUAGUUAUAUUAGACAUUGUAAGAAUACUGUAGCGUGAGAAAAAAAUUAAAUUAAACGCGCUGCAUCCUACUGCCCAUCCAAACUCACCCUAAGUCUUAGUUUGAUUGGUAUGAGCAUUGUUGUCAGUAUGAGAGGGCGUGAAUUUGAGUGUGCUGAAACGCAUUAUCUUCUUAUCUAUAAGUUAAAAAAUGAUUAUGAAUAAUUUUAAGUAUUGUGUUAAAAAUAUUAAACCAAUAUAAUUUUAAUUAUUUGUUUGAAAAGGAUGGGUCCCCAACAAUAUUUUAGGGAGCAACAUAAAAGCUUAUCAUUUGAUUAAGCAAUUUCCAAGUCUUUCUUAAUUAUAAGCACACCCUCUCUCACCGACAAUUUAAUUCUCACCUGUAACUCAAAUCAAUGGCAUUCUUUUAGCAUGAGAUUUGCAAUCUCUUUGCAUCAUUACACAAAUGUUAUCCUAAUCUUAAGCAAGAAUUAAUACAAUCAUGUCAACUUUUUAACAAUCUUUUGCCAUUUUUUUUCUUUUAUUUUUUAAAUCUUCAAAUUAAAGAUACAAGCAUUCAUUUUUCCAUUUAAGUGUUUUCAUGUAACAAAUAAUUAUAUUUUGGGUGGGUUUAGAUAAGCGGUGGAGUAUGAUGCGGUGCGUUUAGUUUAUUUUUUAUCUCGCGCUACAGUAUCGUUACAAUAUUUAAUCUCAUCACCACAACUGUUUUUACACUAACCGCAGCUAAACGCACUGUCCAUUCAAACCUACCAUUAUGUUUUAAUCACAAAGUAAAAUAUCAACAUUGUAUCGAUUAAGUUAUUUUACUUGGAAUAAUAAAAUCUGAGCCACUCGAUAAAUUUUAAGUCGAUAUACCCUGAAUAGACUCGAUUUAAAAAUAAAAACACAUAAAGGUGGUGAGGUGAGUAGAUUCCUUUUAUUAUUAUCAUUGUGGAUAUGGAACGAUGAGUGUUCUUAAUUACCCUGCCUUACCCCACUUAAUAAAAAUACUACUUUACCCUUGUAUAUAAAGAUAUGCUAUAGAAAUAACUUUAAUUUUUUUCGUAAAAAAUAAUAAUGAUUUUCAAGAUUUCACAUCCACAAUAAAACAAGAAAGGUGACGAGGCAAAGUAUGUUUAAUAAUAUAGCAAUGAUAGAUUUUGCAACAUCUGCCUCCACUUCAUCUCCAUUAGCAUCUUCACUUUCAUCAACUUAGCUGUAUGCUUAGAUAUUGAAUAUAAAAUCAAACACGAUAUUAAGCAUAUUCAAAACACGUGAAUUAAAGUUUAACCAUUAUAGUUAAAUAGUUAAUCAGAUCUUAAUUCAAAUGAUAUUGUUGGCAAUAACACGUGUAUUUUUUUAUCUAAAAAUAGGAUUAUGGGUAAUUUUUUUUAAUUAAAGUUAUGGGUAGUUGUAUAUUUUAUAUAGAAAUAUAUAUUGUUGAGUAAUAUAAAAGAAUAGAUAGGAAAAAAUGAUUCCUUGUGGGUUGAAUGAUAAGACAUGAGCAAAUAAUAAAAUAAGUAGCAUUGGUGUAAUGCUUUUUCAAAUGGCUUAGAAAAGGAAAACACACUUAAAUGUGGAAGAGGCUUUAAAAAUAAGUGCUUUCACACACUGAGAGAGAGAGAGAGAGAGAGAGAGGGGGCGUGCUUUCAAAAAGAUAGACUUCGGCACACGGUGUGCCUACGUAGUGCGUAAAUUGGACGGUGUAAAACGCAUAAAUAUUUUAAAUUUUAUGUCACAACUUAUUUUUUAUUUUCGUAUUCGUUUUACUAUUUACGUUCUACUUUUAAUAAUAUUGUAUUUAAGUUCUGAAUUUAUGUUUUUUUAUCUAUUGUGAGUAGAGUGUGCUUUACUAUUAUGAAUGAUAAAAAAACCGGAAUUUGAUGAAUUUUGACUCAAUUCGAUAUUUUAGAAUCAUAUUUUUUUUAUUAAAUUUUGGAUUUGGGGAGUCGGGUCAGGUGAAAUUAAAAAAAAAGUCGGGAUGGGUCGAGACAAGAUUUAGGUAAAUCUGUCUUGUCUUGAAAUACUUACAAAAAUACUCUUGAUAUAUACAUAUAAUUAAGUUUUAAGUCUAAACUAAAAAAUAAUAAUAUUAUUUGCUUCAAAAUAAUAAUAAAAAAACUAAAUAAUUAAACUAAAUUUGGGUUAGUUUGAAGUUGAGUUAGAUUGAUCAAGCUUCAGGUUAGGAUUGAGGUUGGGUCGGCAAAAAUCUACCCCACCCCAUUGUCAUUCCUAUUUACCAAUAGAAUUGUGCAUGGGUUGGGCCGGGCCAAGUUCAAUUAAAAAUUUAGGCUCGUUUCCUAGGCCUAGGCUUGACCCAGCCCAACCAUAUUAAUUUUUAUAUAGUUUAAAAAUAUAUAUAAUACAUCAAAAAUACUAAAAAUAUCAAAAUAAAUAUUUCCCAACAAAUUGAAAAUAAAUUUAAAAAAAAAUGUAUACUUAAAUAACACUAAGAUAGAUGCAAUUUAACAAGUAAAUGCCUCUAAAAUAAUAAUAAAAUUAACAAUAAUAUAAGUUUUAUACAAUAUCCAAAUAAUAACAACAAAAUAAUAGUAAAAUUGUAACAAAAUAGGGAUAAAACAACAAGAAAAUAAUAUUAAAAAACAAAAAAGAGUUUUUUUUGUCAUUUAGUGAAUUCGGGCUGGGCUAAAAAUGCAUUAUCCGAGGCCAGACCAAUUUUUUAAACGGGCCUUAUUUUUUUGUCUAAGCCCAUUUUUCGGGCAUAUAUUUUUGCCUAACCCUCCCACAUUUCAGGCGGCCUUCAAGCCAGGCUAAAUGGUCCAACCUAUGAACAAGUCUAUUUAUCACUGCACUCAAUACUUGUAGAUGGUAAAGGUUAAUAUGUGGUGUAUCGAAAAUAAAACAUUUUAAUUUUGAAAAUAUUGUCAUAUUCUAUAUUUCACUAGAGGUAUGUUUCACUCUUUUGCUUGUAAUUCGAUUUAAGUGUAAUUGCUUGCAAUUACAUUGUGAUAGCAUGUUUGGGUAAUCAUUAUAAUUGAUAAGUCCUAUCAAAUUCUAAUUCUUAGGGAGAGGGUGAGAAUUGAAGUAAUUACUUAGAUAAUUACUCUAAAAUUUAAUUUUAAAAAAAUUAUUCUUAUAAAAGUUAAAAAAUAGAUCAUAAGCACGAGUACGUAUAAGUGUUUGGGAUGAUUGUGGUCAAAUAUAAAUCCUAAAAAAUUAUAUUAUAAAAAUAAAUUGUGUAUUUUAUAAAGAUAAAAAAAAAUUCUAAAGUUAGGGCUAGAAAGUUUAGUAUAAAAAUAAACAUUCUAAAGUUAUGACAAAAUAUUAUACUAUUUAUAAGUAAUGUUACGAAAGUUUUGGACAAUUUAUAAUUUGAUUAUAAAUUUUAUAUUAUUUUAAUUUAUUUUGCGUAUUAUAAAAAUGGAUAUAAACUGACAUAAGUCUUUCUCCAAAUUAAGUUUAUAUAAGUUUUUAUAAUUAAAACUAUACUUUAUUUGAAUCGUGAACUCAAAUAUUAUAAAUCUAAUGCUAAUUAUGUAAAUAUAAAAUGUUUUAUUGCACCAUAUCGUGGGGUAUGGUAUCAUUUAAGAGAAUGGUGCGAGACACAACCACCAUAGACAACUCACACUCUUUAAUUCGAGACAUUUGUUGUUCUAAAAAAAAUCUCUCAUAUUAAUAUCACUUUUAUAUAGCAUGAAAAAUAAAGUUGGAUCGUACUUGUAUUGUGUAUGUUUCAUAACUUCAAUCAUAGGUGGAAUUGAAAUGAUCUAUAUUUCGAAUAGCAUAGAAAAUCUUAUACCACACACAUAUUAUCAUACUUGUACUGUUAUGUUCACUCACUAUUUUCACAUAAUAUUGAUAAAAAGUCACGUUAUUUUAGUUAACGAAUUUAAUAGUUUUGAGUUAAAAUUAAAAUUUAAAAAGUCGAAAAGCAUAAAAACUUUGAAAAAAAUAAAUUCAAGAAUAAAGACUAAAUUCAACAUUUAUGUACAAAUAUUUUUGCAUCAAACCGAUGAUUGAACUAAUUAAACUAAUAAUUUAUCAGUUGGAUCGAAACCCAAUUUUAGUGUUUUAAAAAUAAUUUAUGAUAAUUUUUUUGUGUGGGUAAAAUAAUUUGUUGUUACUAGCAAAAUAGUUUUGGGUAGUUAAUGAGCGUGGAAUACACGCUCCAGUAGGUGAGAAGCAAAAGGCCACGGUCCCAAGCUCUAUGUUUUUUUUUUUUAGUUGAAAGAGAGUCUAACGCGCGACGGAAAGGACUGUGUGAGAAUAACGCAUGUAAAGGUUGUAUCGAAUCAAAUCUGUUGAUUAGAAAUUGAUUAAAAUAUCGAUUCGAAUAAAAAAUUUAAAUUGCUUGGAUUACAAAUUGAUAUAGUUUGGAUAAAAAUAGGUUGAAUUAAUGGUUGAACUGUUUUUAAUAUUUUUAUAAAAUUUUUAAUUAUUUAUUUAAUUAAACUAUUCACAUAUUAGUGACCUAAUUGGUUUAACCAUUAAUCCAAUUUUAAAAACCUUAUUUGAAUCAAAUUUUAAUUUCAGAAUUGUCAUUAUUAGGAGAACUUUACUUGAAUACCGCUUUCGACCCAAAGAAGACUAACCUUAAUAUACAAAAGGUACGAGGAUACGAACAAUUAAUUUGGUAUACAUUAUCAAUUAAUCGAAUGAUGACAAAUAGUAAAAUAAAUUAAAUCUUUUACUUUUAAUUAGAUCAAAUUAUUUGAUUCAUUGACGAUGCAUAAAAUUAUAUACUUAAUAUAAUAAAUAUCGACUCAUUUGAUAUAUUGAUAAUAAGAAAUUUGUUUUAAUACCAUUUCUUUUUUUGUCACUUAACUAUAAAAAAUUACAAAAUAAUCAAUUAAUUAUUCAAUUUUAUCUUUUUUAUCAUUUAAUUAUAUUAAAUUUUUGAAUAUUUUCCAUUUUUACGUGACUAAAAAUAAUAAUUGAAUGAUCAUUUUAUAAUUUUUUAUAAUUAUAUAAAAUAAGUAUAAUUAGGUGAUCUCCACUUCAAUUUAUCCAGUUACGAUACGUUUAACUUAUUUUUUACAGAUAAACUUACCUGUAUUAUAAUCUAAAAAAAAAUCAACUUAAAAUACAAAAAUGAUUGUUACUUGUAGAAAAACCCAAAGGAAGAAGAAAAGAAUUGAGAAGUGCAGAGUUGAAAAGAUGGCAUAAAAUGACAAAAACUAGAGAACAAAAACUCCUUCCUACUUUAUUUAUUUUUUCUCCUUCUUCUAUAGUAAGUAGUAGUGAUUAUUGGAGAGAGAGUCAGAGAAUCAAAAAAAAAAAAGAAAAGAAAAAAGAAAGCAAGAAAUAAUGAAAGAUAGUGAGAGUGAGUGAGAGAAAGAGAAAGAAAUAAGAUUGAAAAGAAACCCAAAUUCAUUUUCACUUUCUAUCAAAGGAAAAAAAGAAGAAGAGAAGAAGAAGACGAUGAUGGAGAAGAAGAGAGAUAACAGAAAAAGAAUAAUAGAGAUAAAGAACAUUAGAAAACAGGAAAAGGGUUGUUUAUAAUUGGCUUUAUAUAUAUGUGUGUUUAUAUAUACAUACAUACACUGAGCUUUUUUAGGUUUUUGUUUUGUUUUGUUUUGCUUUGCUUUGUUAUAUAUUGUAAGAUUGCAGCAGUUGCAGAAGAAGUAUCUGCAAAUUUUGCUGUUUUUCAUUCUCAAAAAUCUAAUCUUUGUGACAGUAUCUCUCAUCCAAACACACUCUUUCAGUACCAAGUUGAUUUGCUUGCAGAAGCUAAAGAUAUAAAUAUAUACAUAUAUGUAUGUGUGUAUAUGUGUGUGUAUAUAAACACUGCUUGCUGCACUAAUUGGAAAGGCACCCAACAAACAAGAUCUCUCUUUCUUUUCUCUCUUUCCAAAAACCCUUUCUUUUAUAUCUUCAGCUACAAAUUCAGAGAUUUUUUUGACCCCACUUUUCCUCUUCUUCUACCUUAUAUAACACCCACAUAGAUAUCUAUGUAUGUUUUAUGGUAAGAAUUUUUUUUCUUUUAUUACAAAGGAAGGAAUAUAUAUUUUUGUUAUUUUUUUGUUGUUGCCAUUGUGGCUACCACAAGAGGGCAGCUACCGUCAGAUACAGGAGGAGCCUUUGCAGAUUGGGCGACAUCAUCGUCCACAGCAAUUCGAGCUGGCCCCGAUGAUUUAUUAUCACUCGGUUUCAAUCCCAACGCCGCUUCUACGGAGGCGACUGCGGCGGCUCCGGCUCAAUGGCCUCCUUCUGCUCGUCCGAUCAACUAUGGACUUGCUGGUCCUGAGAUGGGGAUGGUUGGUCUACGGGACUUUGUCGUCGUUGCUCCUGCUGCUUCUUUUAACCAUCAUCAUCAUCACCAUCAUCAUCAUACUCAAGAUCCCAUCAUGGUGAAUGAACAAAUCAACGGUCCGAGUUCCGCCGCCGCCGCUGCCACCGCACUAGGUGUCGGUGUUAUCCCACUCCUAACAGCGUCUCCUUGUUUACCUCCACAAAAUGUGGAAGACACUGGUAAGUUCAGUGGGAUGCAACUAUGGCAGAACCAAAGUUCUUCGCAUUAUCUUAAAAAACCAGCUUCCCUCCUUGAUAAUAAUCCCUCCAUGAUGGCUGGUGACGGCGGUGGAAUGGGUGGAGGUAGCGGUGGUUCUGGUUCUAGUUCAGGGGCAACAUGUCAAGAUUGUGGGAAUCAAGCUAAAAAAGAUUGCACCCAUAGAAGGUGUAGAACAUGUUGUAAAAGUCGAGGCUUUGAUUGCCCUACUCACGUUAAAAGUACAUGGGUACCCGCUGCUCGGAGAAGAGAACGUCAGCUCAUGUCGGCCGCCGCUACAACCGCUGGAGCUGGCUCAUCGGGGUCUACUUCCGGUGCUAAAAAACCAAGGCUUGUAACCUCACAAACCACCACCACUUCACAUACAUCAACUUCAAAUACUACCCCUCCUCGAAGCUUUGAUACAAGCUCGAGCCACCAAGGUUUUGUUUAGUUCUUUAGUAUUAUUUUCGAUAUAAAUUUUUGAUAUAAAUCAACAAAAUUAUUCUUUUGUAGGGUUUCUAAAUACUUAUGUGGAUGCAUUGUGCAGAUGUUGGUUUUAAAGAGACAUUGCCAGGGCAAGUCCGUGCGCCUGCGGUGUUCAAAUGCGUACGAGUAACGGCAGUGGAGGGCGGUGAAGACGAGUACGCAUAUCAAGCCGUCGUUAAGAUCGGUGGACAUGUGUUCAAAGGGUUUCUUUAUGAUCAAGGAGUUGAAGGAAGAGAUGGAUUUCCAAAUAUAUCUGAAUUGCAUUUAGGUGGUGGUGGAAGAAAUGCUGGGUCUUCUUCAUCACCUGUUCUCGAUCCUUCAGACGUUUAUGCCGCUACUGGUGGUGGAUUUCUCGGUGGUGGUUUGGGUUAUGGUAAUCCAAUAAACUGAGUUUUGAAAAAAAAAAAACUCGUGAAGAUGAUGCAUUGUAGUCUAUUCUUCGUAAGAUUUUUGGUACAUUCUUGCUAUUGUAGAACUCUUGAAUCUCAUAUAUAUAUAUAUAUAGUGGUCUCAAAAAGGGUUAAUUUAUGUUCUUUUUAUCAAAUUCCGAAUUUCGAAUCGAAGAUAACAUAGGUAAGAAGAAGAAAUUAAUGUUUGUUCAUUGUAAUGUGCUUUUUUUAUCAUCAAAUUAUGACAUUGUGUUAAGUGUAUUUAUGUAACUAUUUAUGCUGGUUUUUUUUUUUCACUUGAUUCCGAUUGAUUCAGCUGGUAUAGUUUUGUUGUUCCGGUUUGUAAUGAAGCAUGAAGUAAAUGUGGAAUUUGUGAUUGUUGUCGUCGUCGUCGUCUCAAUGCUGCUGUUUUUUUGGACUUUUUAGUUUUGAGUAGUUGUUUUUUGUCCCCAUCAUUCAUUGAUAUAGAUCGAUGUCGCUAUCAGAAAUCUGUGGACAAAUCUGCAAUUUUGCAUGCAUUCAUGAAUUCUUCCUAGUAUGACAAAAUCAUCUCUACCAAUGUUUACACCCUCAGCCCGAUUCUUGUAUGUUAUGUUCUAUAGAUGCUGAAUCCCAAACCCAUUGCUCUACCAGUGUCCCGUGUGACAUUGAUUCAUGAACACAUCGGGUCUUUGCAUUUCUUUUGUAUGAGAAAAGUGUGCAAUAAUUUACUUGUUUGCAGGUUUUCUUCAAGAUGUUUUGCAGGUCACUUGUGAAAAUCGGGACUGUCGAUGUGGGAAUCGCGUUUGGCUUCUAACGAUAAGGUAUUCUGUAAGAUGCUGCAAAUUUAUCCGUAUUCUAUCAUCUUAUGCAUCAUUGUUGACUAAUGCGGAUCAAAAUAAAGCUGCAGGCAUGCUUCUAAGGGUACUUAAAUCAUCAUGUGAAUUGCUUUGUCAUUCUAUCUUUAUAUAUUUACUCGUAUUUAUGUAUCGUAUCUGUAUCAGGAAACUGAUUAAUGGCAUGUUUGAUCCGUUCUUACCGCUCAAAGUUGCAUUGCAUUGUCGAUUUUCCGGCUUUGCCUUGUAGAUGAUGAAGUUUUGAUGUUUGAUGAUCAAUAAGUUGUAAUCAUGCUUAAUAUUCUUUGGAGUCUAUUCCGGUUAGUAUAUUCGAUUGUCCCAUGCCGAAAGCAGCUAGAAAUGCUCGUUCGUUUGCUGUUUGUUUUCGUUUUCGUGCAGUGAUAAUAUCCGUAUCCGACAUUAUCGUGAUCCUGGCUGCGAAUUUUCUCGAGCUUCGAUAUAAUUUCAAACAAAAUCUCUGUAUGAACACUUCAUACAUGAUCAAAUGGUGUUUGGAAAUUUUUACUUCAACUAUGGAAAAAAUAAACAUGGUUGAUGUUUGUUUAGGGGUUAAUUUUGGAGAAUUUGAAUUUUAUUUUAUUUUAAUCUUUUGGUAUUCACUAGUUAGAUCGUGGAUCGGGUCUUAAUUAAAUUUAGAGUGGAUCUAGUAGUUUGGGUCACCGAUUAAUACCUUUAUAUUUUCUAUUUUGCAAAGGCAUGUACAAAAUUGUUUUGAUUUCAAUUAAAGAAAAAUAAAUAUAAAAUAUUGGGAAGUUGGAUAAAAAAUUAGAAUGUGUAGAAAAUUAUAAAUUUUUUUAUGUAAAAAUAGAAUGUUGGUAACGACAAUAUAUAAGAAAAAAUAGAAUAUAUAGAUGUUAUGUGAAAGGUUUUACGAGAAAAAAAUUAUGGGUAGAAGAAAAAAAAAUUUAUUAUGUUAAAAUUAAAUUAAUACAAUGAGUAUAGAUUGUGUAUUAUACAUUUAGAAAAUUUUAUUCUAAUUAAUAUAUUUAAUAGAAGUAGUAAGUUUGAAACAUUUUAUUUAAAUUAAUAUUAAACAGAGGAAAUAAAUAUUUGUACAGAUUUUUUUUGCGUAUCCUAUAUGCACUGCGGGGGUCUCCGGCCCUUGCACCUCCGGUUGCGACUUGUAUUUUAUUUUAAUAAAAAUUUGAGUCACAAUUUUAAACAUUUAAUGUGGUUGUAAUUUUGUCCUUUCAUGAUAACUUCAUUCUCGCUUAGAGUUAGAUACAAUUUUUUUCACUUUAUAAAUAGAAAGAUAAAGUGUUUUAUUUUAUAAAUAAAAAGAUAAUGCGUUUCAGCGCAUUCGAAUUCAUAUUUUUUUAAAUUAAUAAUAAUAUUUAUGUAAAUCGAAUUAAGAGUUAAAUAUUUUCUUAAAAAAUUAUAAUUUAAUUUCCCUCCUUACCCAAUAAUAAAAAAAAUCAUAGUGAAACUUUUGACAUAUAGGUCCAAAACUCUAUCGAUUGUAACCACAUAGGUCUAAAGCUACUAUAACACAAUCAAUCAUUUUCAUACUUCAAACAUAAUUAAAAAAUGCAUUAACUGAGGUAGGUUCUAUAUAAUUGAACACCACACAUUUACUAGCUACUACUAUAUCUAUACCUAUAUCUAUCUAUCUAUCUAUAUAUAUAUUCUACAUCUAUUAUAAUGAUCAAUUUUCAUGGCUAUUUCUCAAAUAAUUUCUCUUUUUUUACUUCAUCUUCUUCUUCCCUUAGCCUCCAUUUCCCUAUCACAAUCAAGCCACCAGCUGGUAAUAAACACAAUUUCAAUUUUCUCGUAUAUAUAUAUAUAUACUAUAUUAUGAAUUUGUCACCUUUGGGUUGUUUGAAAAUUGGUUGAGAAUAAUGAUCAUAGCCAUUGUUGUUGCAGAUAUGUGAAGUUGGAACUGGGAAUGGCGGUUCGAUCGGUGGAACUUCACCGUUACCGGCGUCGUUAUCAAAGCUAUUGAUUAAGGGAGGAACUGUGGUGAAUGCUCAUCGGCAGGAGAGAGCUGAUGUUUAUGUAGAGGAUGGUAUUAUUGUUGCUGUUAAGCCUAAUAUCAAGGUUAGUCCAUGUUUCAUUUCUUACAAUUUAGUCCUUUUAUUAUGCUAAAAAUUUGAGAUUUAAUCCUUAUACUUUAAUUUGGCUUAAUUUGGUUUUUGUAUUUUUAUAAUGAUAGUAAAUCAAAAUUAAUAACACUAUUAAUUGUUACACUGUUUUUUGUUUUACAUGUUAACGGAAUGCUCAAGGUUAUUUUUAAAAAUAUUCCACGUUACUUUAACAAUAGCAAUUACAAUUAACAAUGUUAUCAAAUCAGACGUAUUAAUAACACUACAAAAGUAGAUGGAUUAAAUUAUGACAAAUUAAAGUAGGAGAUUAAGUUCCAAAAUUCAGCAUUAUAGAGAGACUAAAACUAUAAUUUGUAUUAUUUGACUACUAACACUAAAUUAAGGAGUCCGAACUAUUGAAAUUGAACGAUAGUUGAAAAAUAAUUUUUAUGACAUUUUUGAUAUAGCAAGUGAUACACUUUGAACUUAUUUAAUUUUUUUAAUAGUAUAUGGAUUAAAUUGAUCCGUUUAAUAAUAGAGGGACGACUAGAGACCUCCCAAGUAUUUUAACCAAAUUUAAAUUUUAGUUUUUUUUUAUACAUAAUAUACAUUUUAAACAUGUUUUGGUAGGUUGGUGAUGAGGUUACGGUACUUGAUGCCACAGGAAGAUAUGUAAUGCCAGGUUAUAAUUUAUAAUUAUGAUUUAUACGAUUAUUUAAGUGUGUUCUAUAGUUUCAUAAAUGUACCGUGACAUCGAUAGGAGGUAUUGAUCCUCAUACGCACCUAGAUGCGGAGUUUAUGGGGACAGUGGCGGUCGAUGACUUCUUUAGUGGUCAGGCCGCUGCGCUAGCCGGUGGAACAACGAUGCAUAUCGACUUUGUCCACCCUGUUAAUGGUAGUUUAAUGUCCGGGUUCGAAGCUUAUGAAAAGAAAGCAAGCAAAUCUUGUAUGGAUUACGGUUUUCAUAUGGUGAUUCGACAUUGGGAUGAAUCUGUUUCGAAAGAAAUGGAAAUAAUGGUUAAGGAAAAGGGUAAGCUUUUCAAUUAAUGAUUGAAAUUUGUGUCAUUUGAUUUUCAACAUUAAUGAAUUCCACGUAAAAUUUGUGUUUUAUUUUUUCUUUUUUAAUUGUUUUCACGAUUGUUAUUAACAAUUUCGUAGGCAUAAACUCUUUCAAGUUUUUCAUGGCGUACAAGGGAACAUUCAUGGUCGACGACGCGGUUCUAUUACGAGGGAUGAAGAGGUGUAAGUCUUUAGGUGCAUUGGCUAUGGUUCAUGCCGAAAACGGCGAUGCUGUGUUCGAAGGGCAAAAAAGAAUGAUCGAGCGCGGUAUUACCGGUCCAGAAGGUCAUGCCCUUUCUAGACCUCCGAUGGUAGUGACUUAAAACGCAACCACAACUGCAAUUUAAACAUCCUUACACAUGCUUUCUUUUGGUUGAUAUAUUGUAAUUUCGAGGUAGCUAGAAGCCGAGGCAACCGGGAGGGCGAUUCGUUUGGCGAGUUUCGUGAACACGCCGCUAUAUGUCGUUCAUGUGAUGAGCAUUGAUGCUAUGGAAGAAAUAGCUAAAGCUCGAAAAACAGGUUUUUAUUUCACUUUUAAUAUUUUAUCGAACGAGUCUCGGAUACAAAUAUGUAUCUGAAACGAGCCCCAUUUUUUUUUUCUUUUUCGUUUUUACAGGGCAAAAGGUUAUAGGAGAGCCUGUGGUUUCUGGAUUGGUCCUUGAUGAUUCUAAGCUCUGGGACCCUGAUUUCAUAACUGCAGCAAAGCAAGUCCCUUUCCUAAUUAUUUUAGUAUUUCGAGUUGUUACAUUAGAAUGGUGAUUACAAUCAAGUGAAAUUUUAUCAUGUACUAAUUUAUUCCAGGAUUUCAGGUAUGUUAUGAGUCCACCUAUCAGAGAAUCCGGACAUAACAAGGCUUUACAGGCUGCCCUUUCAACUGGAGUUUUGCAGGUAUGUUAAUUUUUUUCAACUAUUUAUUUUUCUUUUUCCUACACAUAUUUAUACUUGAAAUAUACUCGUAUUAAACACAUAUCGGUGUUUGCACUACUGGAAGCUUGUAGGAACUGAUCAUUGUACCUUUAAUUCUUCACAAAAAGCUUUCGGCAUCGACGAUUUUCGAAAAAUUCCGAAUGGUGUCAAUGGUAAAAUGCAAAAAAGGUUUUUGUAUUUUAAUUUCCUUCGUAUUUCGGAAUGGUUGUUAUUGUGCUCUUUUCGUGAUUGUUUGUUGUGGUAUAACUCUAUAUCAAUGGGGGCGAAUUUAAGGGUAUGAGCCGUGCACAACAGCUUUUUAGUUUCAGUGUCUUAGAGAAUUAUAUAUGAGAUUCUUCGUUUUUAAGGAUUUAGGUUGAUUGAAACAAAUUUAAAGUGAAUUCAAUGCCUAAAGCCACACUGUUUGCGAGGCUAAAGUCUAGUUUAGUGACAAUUUCUCCACCCAACAAAUGUAAAAUUGAAAUUCUUUUACUGUAUCAAAAAUGAUAAACUUAUAAAUUAAUAAAUGAUAAAAUUAUAUUUGACUUAUAAAAAAUCUAUAAUUCAAUUAUGAUCCCGUAAAAGAAUUUUUAUAUUCGCCCUUGCUUAUAAACACCUCUAUUCUUCAUUCAGAAUUAUGAUUGAUUCACUCUAUACUUACCAAACUUUUACUCUUCUUAUUGGAAUUAGGGAUUGAGGAGAGGAUGCACCUUGUUUGGGAUACAAUGGUGGUGAGCUAUAAUCCAAACUUUAAGUUAUUAUACGUACAUACAUACAAAUAUUAAGGGGAGUCGACUCAUUUUGAAGAAAUCUUCAAAGUGUCGUUCGCUAGUUAGUUGAUCAGUCCUCUAACAGUAUAAGGUAUUGUCUCUUAGGAAAUUGUCUCCCUUGCUCUAUACCACUUGGGUUACGGGUAGUCAAGGCACUCCGAGCUUUGUGAAGCAGACCCUUAGGGGAGUUGCUCACGACAUGCUAGCUCUUAGCAAAGCACGGGAGACAACCCUCGUCGACAAUACCUUCGAUUGUUGAGGACUGGUCAACUGCCUAAUAAACGACAUUUCGAGCACUCCUCCAGAAAGAUCCACCCCCCUCAACACACACACUCUCGGCCUAUGUACGGUGAGGAGCUCUCGGCUUUGUGAACCAGGCCAUCAUGACAAUUGCUCACAGUAUGUUAGCUCUCAACAGAGCACGGGAGACAAUACCUUAAACUGUUGGGAGACCAGUUGAUUGCCUAAUGAACGACACUUUGAAGAUUUUUCUGGAAAAAGUUGAACCCCCAACAUACAUACACACAUGCAAGCAAGCGUGUACACACAUGUAGUCUGUUCUCACCUCGAGCAUUUUUACAGGAAUCAGGCCAAAUUUCUGUCACUGAUUUUGUCCGGAUAACAAGUACUGAAUGGUAAUGAUUUUUCAUCUUCGAACAAUUUCCCUUCAUAGACAACCUUUGUGUCUAUUUGUUGUCAUGUUUCAAUAACUUGCAGUGCUAGGAUCUUCAACAUCUAUCCAAGAAAAGGAGCAAUUCUUGUUGGAUCCGAUGCAGAUAUCAUUAUAUUUAACCCUAAUUCGAGCUUCGAAAUAAAUCCAAGAUCUCAUCAUUCGAGAACCAAUACGAAUGUAUACGAAGGUAGAAAAGGAAAGGUAUAAUUUUCAUUUUUAUACCCUUAUUAGCCAGAUUACAAGCGUUUUAAACACUAAUAUUUCGAGAUAAUUAUAAGGGAUAAUAUAAAUAUUGGCCCCUAACCUGACAACUAGGUUUAUUUUGGUACUUGUACAUUUUUUUUAUACACUUUGGUAUUUUAACUUGAAAAUAUUAAAAUUUAAUGAUAUGACAUUCUGAGAUUAUGUCACAUAAUUACUUAAAAAUUAAAAAAAAUUAUAUAUAUUUUUAAGUAUUGAUGUGGUACAAUCUUAAAAUGUCACAUACAAUAUUCUAAAAACUAAAUUAGUGAUUGAACUAGUUUGAUCAAUGAUUUUCAAUUCAAUUGAUUUGAUCGGUUCAAUUAGUAAACCAACAAUAAAUAGUUAAAUAAUUAAAAUUUUAUAAAAAAUAAAAAAUGAAACCGGUUUAACCUGUUCAACUAUUAGUUUUUGUCUCAAAUUUUUUAUUAGUUUUGAGCAUUUUUUAAUUCAAUCAGUUCAACCUCUUUGUUUGGACCAAUAUAUCUAUUGGUUCUCGAACGAUCUAAUCAAUCUGACUGACCAGUCCAAUCAUGUUUCAAGAAUACUGGUCAUAUCAUUAAAUCUUGAUGAAAUCUAAAUUCAAGGAUCAAAAUAGAUCUAGCUACUAAGUUUAUGUACCAAAAUGAACCAAAAAAAUAGUAUAUGUACCAAAGUGGACUUGUUUGCCAAGUUCAAAGGUCAAAAAUUAUAUUAUUACUAAAUAUAAAUUUGGGUUUGGAAUUUUUCAGGGAAAAGUUGAGGUAACAAUUUCUAGAGGAAGAAUUGUUUGGAAAGAUGAUGAAUUGAAAGUUGCACCUGGUUCCGGGAAGUAUAUACCAAUGCCUCCUUUCGGUUUUCUUUUCGACGGAAUCGAAAAAAUCGAUGCUAAGCUUGUUUCUUCCUUCAAAGCUCCGGUACAUAGGUUUAAAUCCGAUGUUUAAACUCGAUUAGGCUCUCAAUUUUUCAUAUUUGACUUCGAACUCGAGUAUAUAUAUGUAUUGAAAUUAUAAAAAAAAAUUCGAUUACAUUCGCGAGCUACUCGAGAUAUUUGCUCCCUACAAUCCAAUUGCACAUGCAAAUAAUGAUAUUUACAUGGCAAUUCAAUAAAAAAAAAAACAAACCCUUUUUGAUUUGUUUGUUCCCCAACAGAUGAAGGCCAAUUAAUUUAGCAAUCCCAGAAAUUUAGUUGUCUUGUCGUGCCAAAUCAAUGUCUGAAAUUUGGAGAAUUUCAUUGCCAAAAGCAGCAAAGAACGAAAGCAAAUAUCUUCUUUCUCUUCUGCAUUGUAAUAGAUAUCAAUUUAGAUAUUCGAAUUCGGCUCGAAAAAAAAAAUUAUAUGCAGUUGAAUUUGAGUAGUUUGAGUUUCGAAUUUACGGAGACAAACAACCUUAUGUUUUUUUUGGUAAGGUUGUUGUUGAUGUGGUAAUGAAACAGUGAUGAAAUCGUCGUCGUUUCCUAAGCUACGCCAAUCACCACUCAUUUGUCGUUUCUGGUUGGCUCGAGCUUUCAAGAACACCGUUGAGUAGUCCAUCGAUCCGGUAGAUUUCCGAUCACACCCUCUGAAUUCGGGGGCGGGCAUCCACGCAUAGUUCUGUUGGUUUCGAAAAUAGUCAAAUGUCAUUAGAUUUUUGAGCUCAUUUUUUACUAGAUAAACGGGUAGUAACCAAAUGACUUAAAUAGCGAUAAUCGAGAUCUUACGGUGACUGCAGAAUCUUGGUCGUUAUUGUCGGCUUGUUGGUGAGGCUGCGGCGGUUGAGGUGAUGAAUCGGCUGUAAAAUCGCGGUGGUUUCCGAGACUACGCAAAACAUCAGAUUUUUGUUGCUUCCUGUUGGCUCGAGCUUGUGAGAAAACCAUGGAGUAGUUUGUAGCACCAGGAGGUUGUUUGUCCCAGCCACCAAAUUCGGGAACCGACAUCCACUUCUUGUUCUGUCCAUUUUAGAAUAACUUACAAACAUUAUUAAGGGUUUAAGUAAUUUUGGAUUUUGUUCAUUUCGAGUUUUAGGUCGAUUUGGGUUUGAAUUUCAUCCACUAAAAAAAAUAUUAAAUUUAUUUUUAUAUGUUAAAUCAAAAAGUAAAUUAAUUAUUUCUGUUAAAAAUUUUAUUCAUUUGUACUAUUAAAAUCUAACGAGAUUGAUAAAAAAAUCAGACUGUGAUAUGUGGUAUGCCACAUGUACCUCAUUAUGAUGUACAUAAACUAGUUUUUAACGUAAAAGCGGAUAGAAGGACCAAUUUGCUCUUUGAUUUAACGAACAUUGACUAAUUUACUCAUUUUAUGAGUAGAGAGUGUAAAAUAUAAUCCGACUCUUAGGACAAGGGCUUCCAUCGUACUUUUACCGUCGAAUCAAUUUGGUUUUUAUAAUUUUGGGGUUAAUUUUAAGUUUACCUCAUUUUUAUUAGUUGUCAUUUUGGAUUUGGGUUUUUAGGUUUAAGGUCCAAGUUUUUCUAGUCACAUUAUUACGAGUUCAAGAAAUUUUGGAUUUUGUUUAUUUUAGGUUCGGGUCAUUUUGAGUUUGAAUUGUUUCAGGUUUAGGUCACUUUGGAUUUGGAUUAGUUCAAAUUUGGGUUGUGCCAAUUUUGGUUGUUGACUGUUUAUAAUCAAAAUGGGUUGAGUUGGAUUUGAGUUAGGACUAACCAAAUUGAGUUUUUGAAUUUGGGUAAAAUUUGACAUAUUUAUGUUAAUUCAUUCAUAUAUACAUGUAAAUAUAAUUUUGUUGCUAUACCAAAUCGAACUUAAGUUGGGCUUCGAGAAGCGGUUUUUUAUUAGGGGUGGAGAUAAAAUUAUAAAAUCUAGAGCUGAAAGUUAAAAAUAUUGUAUUAAAUGACUGUUGUAGCUAUAUAAAUGGACCAUGGAUGAUUUAGGAUGAAAAUUGAAAUCUUACCAUCCCGGGAUCAUCGUUGUCUUGCCAACGGGGUGACGACGCAGCGAUGAAAUCCUUCUCGUUUCCUAGGCUACGACUAACAUCUUUCUUCUGUUGCUUCUUGUUGGCCCGAGCUUGCAAUUCCGAAUUAAACUAUACAAAUGAACAUUCUCACACACGUGAAUACAUGUAUAUAUGUAAAUUAAUUGAGUUUUUUUUAUUAGGUAAACGAGUUUAGUUGAGCAUAAUCAAAUGACUGAAUAAUUUCGCUUUUAUCUCAAAUCGAGCUUAAUAUUAAAUUUUAAGACGAUUAUUUGGUUAGAUCCCUAAGAAAAUAACAUGAUAAAUUAGUGGAUGAUUUAGGAUGGAAAAUGAAAAUCUUACCGCGACAAAAUCAUUGUGGUCUUGUCGUUGAAGCGGUUGAGGAAGUAAUGAAGCAGCGAUGAAAUCUUGCUCGUUUCCUAGGCUUUGUGUCUUUUGUUGCUUAUCAUUGACCUGAUACCGAGCCGAAUUUAAGUAUUUUAAUGUUAGUCUCAAAUGAUUAUUAAGCAUAAUCGAGUUUUUAAAUAUAUUUAAAUAUUUUAAAUUAAUAUUGAAAAAAAUAAUCUGAACUUGAAAACAAAUAAUCAACUAGUAUUAAAUUAAUUGAUGAUUUAGGAUGGAAAAUGAAAAUCUUACGGUGACAAAAUCUUCAUGGUCUCGUCGUCGAGGAUGACGAGGAGGUAAUGAAGCAGCGACCAAAUCUUGCUCAUUUCCAAGGCUUUUCGUCUUUUGUUGCUUCCCCUUGGCCUAAUAUUGAGUCGAAUUUAAUUAUCUUAAUGUCUGACUCAAAUAAUUAUUAAGCUUAAUCGAGUUUUUUUAAUAUAUUUUAUUUUUAAUUAAUACUGAAAAAAAUAAUUCAUACUUGAGUACAAAUAAUUUAACUUGAAGUUAAUCAUAAAAUUAGGUUAAAAUUUAUAAUUAGUCCCAAUAUUUUACUCAUCAAUUUGUGAAUUUAGUCCUUGUACUUCGUUGGUUUAUAAAUUGAAAGACCCUAACCUAAAUUUUUCUUUCCCCUUUUCACAAGGACUAAAUAUGUAAUUUGAACAAAAUAUGGGGAUUAAUUAUACAAAAUUGACCUAAAAAUUAAAAUUGUAUUUGACCCUGAUUAAAUAAGCUAAAAUCAAUUGAAUUCAUACCAACUUUUGAGCAAAGAACAUAUCAUCAAAGCAUGAACUAGAAGUGUUGAUAUGUAGGUGAACUGAUAGAUGAAAAUGCAAAGAAAAAAAUCUUACAAAGACAGAAUCUUGGGUGUCUUGUUGUAAUGAAUCCGCAGUUAAAUCGAGUUCGUUUCCGAGACUACGCCAAACAUCAGCCUUUCGUUUCUUUCUGUUGAGUCGAGCUUGUGAAAACUCCAUGGAAUAGUUGGUAGAUCCUGGCGGGUUACGUUCCCACCCUCCGAACUCCGGAAUUGUUAUCCAUUCAUUCUUCUGCCGGUUUCGAAACGAACUCGGAAAUUAGGGAUCAAAAUUAAAAUUUAAAAUUUUGGAAGGAUCUAAAUGCAAUUUGGCCAACCUUUUUAGCUAACAGUAACUAUAGUUAAGAAGAGCAAGAGGGGAUUUCGUCCCCUCAAAAUUUUUGGAAAUGGUUAUUAAACCUUUCAAAAUUUUACUUAAGCUAACAAAAAUAUUGGGAAAUUCCAAUUAAACCUUAUAAAGGUUUUGAAAAUUUUAAUCAAAUCCUUUAAUUUUUUUAAAAAUUCUCAUUAAAAUUUUCAGAAAAUUUUUAAAAAAUUAGUUAAACCCCCUUUUUUUUAAAAAAAAUUCUCAUUAAACUCUAAAUAUUUUUAAAAAAAAUUAAUUAGACCCCAAAACUUAAUGUCAUGUUCUGCCAUCGGAAACACCCUUAAAAUUCGAUUAAUGAAUAGGUUAAAAUUCUUAAAAACUAGAGCUGUGUUAUCAAAUUGUCAAUUAAAAAACACCAUUUUUUUAGAAAAAUUAAACAAUUAUUGAUUAAUUAUAAAAAUUGCAGAAAAAAUAAAUUAAAACGAAAAAAAAAAGAAAGAUAUAAAGGUUUAUUACCUCUAUUAGGUUGGACAUGGAUUGUAGGAGCAAGGAUUAAAAUUACCAAAGAUGAUAAUUAAUUAACCAAGGAAUUGAAGGUUUGAAACCCAGUUAAAUUAAAAAUAAAUUAGAACAAUUUUCAGUUAUAAAUUGAUGGUAAUUAAACAAUAUAAUUAUCUGUGGAGGGGAUGCCUAAAUUAACUUACUGUUUUUACUAACAAAACCAAUAAAAAAAUUAAUUUAUUAACUCUUAAUACCAUUAAGAAUAUAAAUCUAUUGUUGUAUUUUUGGCUAUUGUUUGAAAAAAAAAUGAAAAUUGUGGGUAUUUUUAGAUUUGUUCAAAAAUUAGUUUAUGUUAGAGUUGUGUGACCUAAAUUCAUGUUAAAGAACUAAUAUAAUGGUAAAAUUAGGAGAUGUAUGGAGGGUUUAAGGCUAAUGGCCAAAACUCCUCUAUUUUUUACUUUGAUUAGAAUAAGGUUUUUCAACCUUUAAACUUUAAAGAGAUGUAGUCGAAAUUUCUCUUGUAUUAUUCGAUUCCCAACAUUAGUGAAUUUCUUCUUAUUUGCCCAUGACUUUUUUCCCCCAAAGGGCUUCUACAUAAAAUUUGUGUGUUUUAUUUUUUUUGACAGGAAAAACAAGAAUUUCAUUGACUGCAACCCUAUAAAUAAGAGGAGAAAACAAGCGAGAUGUAACACCCUAAAAUUUUUUAUUUUGAAAGUGUAAAAUUAUGUUAAGUAAUUUGUAUUAGUUUAGUGACUAAGUGUUAGUUAUGUGUGUUUGAGGUCCUGUGAUUAAAUAUCUUCCGUUGAUUUUUUAUUAAUUUUGUUCCAAUAUUUGAUUUUGAAUAUCUAGCUUAUCUAUUAUUUUUUAAUCUCUCUCCCUAUACCUUGCUUCUCUUUCUUUUCAUGUUAGUUUCCUUGUUACUGCCAAAAUUCUUCCUAUUGUUCUUUUUCAAAAUUUCCAUUCAAUUACUACAAAAAUUUCCUCCCUCUUCUGCAGUGAUUUUCUAUUUUGGUUUAAUCCCUCUUCCUUGCUCAUCUUUGUUGCCGCCAUUUUGACUUGGAGUUGUCCUUUGUCAUCGAGCCAUUCCGUUUUUGCUUCAACCCAUUGUAAGUUUCCUCUAUUUAUUUUCCUUAAGUGUUAUUAUGCGAAGUAUGUGGGUUGAUUGUGGGAUUUCGGUUUAACUAAUUUUGGAUCUGUUUAGGUGAAAAUCUUGAGACGAACUUUCCUCCGACGUUUAGUGAGCCUUAAGAGCUGUUGUUCUAUUGGGUAAGUAAUUGAAUGCCUCAAAGAGGCUAGUUCUUGGUGUUAAGGUCGAAUGUUUAAUGCUUGUGGCCAAAUUAUGAUUGGAUUUUGGGGUAUUGAUGCUAAUUAUUUCUGUCGAAACCAUUUUAUUUCGAUUUAAAAAAAGGUGAAUUGACUUUUUGGAAAGCGAAAAAAAUGGAGUCGCCACCGACCUUUUUUUGAGGUGUAAUCGGAUCACCUUGAAGUUGAUCAUUUUAAUAAAACAUUUGAUUUAUUAAAACAAUAAAUUUUAGGUCUACGAAAAUUGAGAGAAAGGUUCGGGAGUCGGUUACGCACGAGGAAGGGUUAGCACCCCCGUAACGCCCAAAAUUGGUACCAAACCGAUUAAAUAACUGUCCUUGUGUCUAAGAUUUAAAAUGUUUUUGAAAUGAGGUUCCUUUUUUAUUACAUUUGAAUAAAAUCUUCUUGUUUCAGAGGAAUACAGCACCACAUCCAGCACAGUAGGAUGCAAUCCUUCAUACCCUCGAAACGCGAUAGAUUUCGACUUCCAAAAAUUCAUAAUUUGGAAAUUACAAAAGGAUGUUCAACUAUUUAGUCCAACGAAAAAUCGAAACCCAGCACAGUAGGGCAUGAUUCCUUGAAUUUCCAAACGUUGAACAUUGCCUCGCUUUAGAAAACACGAAUGAAAUUCCAAAGGGAUAUUCGAUUAUUUUGCGCAAACGAGAAGUUGCAACCCAGCACGAUAGGGCACGAUUCCCCGAAUUGCCAAACAUCGAACAUUUCCUUUGUUUUAAAAAGUUUUUAGAAAACAUGAACGAAAUUCUAAAGAUACAUUCGAUUAUUUUGGGAAAACGAGAAAUUGCAACCCAGCACGAUAGGGCACGAUUCCCCGAAUUGCUAAAUAUCGAACAUCAUCUCCGUUUUAAAGAAUUUUUAAACAAAUAAUUAUAAAACCGGCUUGAAAUACACUAAUUUAGCUUGAAAUAAAAGGGAAUAAUUAGUUUUAAAGAAUUAGAAGUUAUAAAGUGACAUUUGUAAAUCGGUAAUAAAAACGGGAUAAUAUACAUGAACAUAAUAGAUGCAUUAAUAUAAAAUAAAAUAAAAGUCGAGAAUAACAAAAUUAGCAAACACGCGAAAUAAUCACAGAUCAAAAAUAACAAAAAGUAAAGUAAAAACUUAAGUAAAUGAUAUAUACGUAAAUAAAUAAAUAACACAAACAAUGAUAAAAAAUAAUAAUAAUACUAAUAAUAAUGCAAUGAUAGUAAGAAAGAAAAAAAAAAGGUGAUAACAAUAAUAUGUCAAAUAAUAAAAAUUAAUAAUAAUAAUAAAUAUAGUGAUGAUAAUAGUAGAAUAUACAAUAUAUAGUAUUAGAGGUAAAAUACAUAAUACAUACAUAUUAAAAGUAAUCAUAAUAAAAAACUAUUAAUAACUAUAUAAAUAGAUAUAUAGUAGUUGCAUAUACAUGGUAUUGUUUUAAAAAAAAAACAUAAGAUAGUAUGAGAAAUAAAAAUGUAUAAAUGAUAUAGUAUUAAGGUAUAUGCAUAACAAUAAAAAUACAAUAUUAACAUAUAUAUACACGUAACAUAAAAAAUGUAUCCGUAUUAAAAAAAAUAUACAUAAUAAGAAUGCAAUUUUUGAAAUAUUUACAUAGUAUAAACGUGCUAAAAAAAUAAUAAAAAAGGAUAUUAAUGAUUUUACAUAGAUAUAUACAUAUAUAUUAAAAUGAACAAAUGAUAAUACUCAAAGCAUGUACACAAUAUAUAUAAUAUAUGAAAUAUAUAUAUAUAAUAUUUAUAAAAAUAUAUAUAUGGUAUAAUAUUAAUAUGUAUUCAUAAUAUGGGGUAUGAUGUAAUAUUUAAAUGUGUAUACAUAAAAUAUAUAUUAGGAAUAAUAAUAAUAAUAAAGACAACUAUAUGAAUAUAUAUAAAAUAUAUAAGUAUUAAUUAAAACUAAAAUGUCUAAAUAAUAAUAAAAUAUGUUAACAACAAUAAUACGAAAGUAGUAAAUAGAAUAAUAAAAAAAAUAAAAAUGGUAAAAAAAUAAUGCAGAAACCAUAUUAAAUCUAAAAGGACUAAAUUCGAAACAAAUAGGAAGUUUUGGGGCCAAUUAAAAAGAGAUAUGACAAAAGGGACCCAGAUGAAUGCGCGAGUGACCAAGGAGGACUGAAAUGGAAAUAAACCCACUCGUCCAAAACGCAUCAUUUGAUUAGGGACCCAGAUGAAACGACAACGAAAUUCCAGGGGUGAAAUUAAAAACAAAUCAAAAGGAAUGGGACCACAUCAAAACCGGCUUCAAAAGUGGAGGGACUGAGGGCGCAAAUAGACCCUCAGUCCAAAAACACGCAGAUCCUAGGCGAUUUUCGGGUCGGAGUCUGUGUCAGGUGUUAAACGGCGCCAUUUUAGUCAUUAAGUGUUUGCCCCAAAACGACGCCGUACGGAGAAGCUAUAAAAGCAAAAUUUUUUUGAAAAAAAUUCAUUUCCUCCGAGUUCAGAAAAAAAUGAGAGAGAGAGAUUGUUUUUCUCUCUGGGCAAAUCCCAGAAUCGGCCAAAAGGGGCCGGCAAAUCUCGCCGUUGCUCCGCCGUGCAUGGUGGCUGGAAAUCGCCAAAGGUAAAAUUUUUUACUCUUUUUUUAUUUUUUAGAUCUAAUAUAUAUGUGUUUAUUGUUUUAGCAGAUUAAGAUUGGAAUAUGUAUAAACAGAUGCGGAAGAGACAAAUGAAAAGAAAGAUGAAAAAGAAAAAAAAGAAACCUUUGCUUCUGUCCUUUUUCUUAUUUGCAAUUUGAGUGACUAUUUUUGAAGUCUCUUGAUGAUAUUUCUCUUUGUGUUUUAAUGAAAAACUACCCCCAAAAAAAAACCUCCUCACAAUCUCCUUCCUUCGGCUUUUAUAAAGCCAUUACAUACAUUUUUCUAUCAUUUUUAUUAUUGUUUGCGUGUCUAUCUUGCAGGAGUAGUUGCAGCGGUGCUGAGUAGGUGUUGGCAGACGUCGGUGGUGGAUGGGACAAGGGCAGACCUAGGUGCAGCGCACCUAGGGUUUCUUUGACUGAUUUUUUGAAGAAAAAUGUGGGCUUGGUGGGCUAGGGUUUGAGUUUAUUGGGUCUGUUUUUGGGUGUUGGGUAAAUGGGUUUUUUGGGUUUGUGGGCUUUGGGGUUAUAUUGGGCCCGGGCAAGGAUUGGGUUGUACAAUUUCAUUUUGAAUGCUGGUUUUAGGGUUUGGAAGUGUGCCGUAUCAUUGUUUUCCAGAAAUGUUAGGUGUGUAACAAUAUUCUUGAAAAAUCAAUGGAUGACGCGAAGCAAAAAAACUCACUGUCGACGCCACAUGGUCGUGUGCCAGACUGUGUAAGCCACACGACAGUGUUCUUAACCAUGUGCCAAGCCAUGUGGACUCAUUUUCAGUAAAAUUUAGUUAGGGUCGUAUUUGAAUGCGUUUCGAGGUUAGCUACUUCGCAGGGUCUGUAGUGUGAUAUGUAUGACUGGUAUAUGAAAUCUACUGUACUGAUAUUUUAUGUGUAACAUCUGAAAGCAUGUCAGUAAUUAAUUCAGCAUUUGAUCUGUAAAUUUGGGAAAUCUAAAUAGGUAUGAUUCAUUUGUGUGCAUCUGAGUAUGUAUUAUGUUUCAGUAUGUGCAUUGGGGUUGGAUAAUUAUGUGACGAAGGAAGUGUUGGCUCUAAUGGCCUAAAUUCAAGGUUAUCGGAACAAUGGUUUCGUAACCAUAGAUCCGAUUUAAAGAGAAAUUUAUUUCAAUAUUUUUGCUUGAAAAUUGAUAUGAUAGGAAAAUCGUAUGAAAAUAUUGAUAGAAAAAUUUUACCAAUUUAGUGAUUAGAUAGAAAAAGAAAUUAUUGAAGAAAUUGGGUAAAAACGGGGAAUUGAGACCUCUAUCUCGUAAAACCGAGUAAAAAUAAUUUUAUAAAUAUUUAUGAAAUGUUAUUAAUGUGGUAUUAAAAUUUCGUUAGGAAAUUUUAAUGUUUGGGUAGUCAAUUAAAUGAAAAGGACUAAAUUGUAAUAGGUGUAAAAGUUGCUAGAGUGAUUAAAUAGCUUAAGAGUCUAAUGAGAAAGGAUUUAAAAGGCAAUUAGACCCAAAAGUUAUUUGGGCUGGACGGAAAGGGUAUGAAAUCAGCAGAAAAAUUGAUAAAUUAAGGGUAAAAUUAGAAUAUUGCAAAAUUAACUAAAUAAAGCUAGGACUAAAUAGGAAAUAUCUAGAUUUCUCUUCAUUUCUCUUCAAUUCCAGCAGCUAAAAACGCCAUAGGAGGGUUCUCUAAGCUGAUAUUUCAUAAUUUUUGCACCAAGUGAGUUAAUCCUUGCCUUUUUCUUGUAAUUUUUGUGUUUCUAAGACUUUUACAACUAGGUCCUACUAUUGAAUUCAUUAGUUUUUGAUUUCAUGGAUGAAAUUGAAAGUCACCAUGGUUGAGUUCUGUAAUUUUAUGAUGAAAUAGAAUUAAAUUAAAGCUUUAAUUUGUUUAUGAGAUGAUUUUAUUAGGUAAUUUCAAUAGAAAUUGAUUUUUAAGACCUAAUUGUGAAAAUGCUUGGAAUUAAAGUCUAUUGCUGAAAUUCUGAUUCCUAAAGGUUGUAAACUAGUUUAAGGUGAUAGAAUAAAAUGUUAAUUGAGAAAAAUCAGCUCAAUUGAGAGGCUAAUUGAGUAGGGACGAAAUUAUCAUUUAUUAAAAGCUUAAGGGAAAAAUGGUAAUAAACAGCUUGCACAAAAACAGUUUGGACAGCAGCAGUAGACUAACUUUGAAAAAUCACCAUAAAUUUUAGAAAUCGAAUUAGAAGAUGAAAAAAAUAUGGAAUUAAAGCUUAUUGAGUCUAGUUUCUCAUAGAAGAAUAGUGUAAGCAAUGGAUGUGUAAAUUUUGAGAUAUAAUGAAUUUUGUGAGACAAGGUCAGAAUGAAUUCGGGUUCCCCUGUUCUGACUUUGAAAAAUCAUAAAAAAAUUUAAGAAAAACAAUUAUGGGCUUAAAUUUAUAUGUUUAGAAUCUUUAAUGAGUCUAUUUUUAAUAGAAACAAACGAGAACAUUAUUUGAAUUCUGUAUGAAGAGAUAAUUAAUUUUUAGUGAAGAAGGGUUAGAACUGUCGACAGCAGAACAGGGGUGACUUUAAAGAAUAAAAUGUACUUAUUGGAUAAACUAAAAAUUCUGAAAAUUUUAUGGUAAAAAUAUAUAUGAGUCUAGUUUCAGGGAAAAUUAACGGAUCUUAAUUUGGAGUCCCGUAACUCAAGUUAUAAAUAAUUUAGUGACUAUGACUCAAGUAGACAGCUUUGAAUGAACUAUAAAUAAUAGUUGAAUUAUAGAGAAUGUUGCAUAUGAACAUGAAAUGUAUUAAAUUGAUAAUUAAAUUUAUUUAUUUAGAUCCGGAAGAUUCAAAUACGAAACUAGAUCGAGGAAAGGAAAAAGUUCGGGAUUAGUAGAUUUUUAUUGUUUACAAACAAGUAUCGAGGUAAGUUCAUGUAACUUGAAUUAUAUUCUUAAAUGCUUGAAAUGCAUGUUUUUGAUGUGAAUAUGAUUUGAAUGUUCAUUAUAUGGAAAUUUAUGAAACAUUGAUAUAUUUGAUAAAAUGGGAAGAAAUCACGUUUGAAUGAAAGGAAAAUUCGAUGGAUCUCUGAAAAGGAAUUGACGGUAAAAAGGAUCUAGCCCGGACGGGUGAUCCUAUCCUGAUAUCGCCAUCCCGAAGAAUAUGUGUAAAAUGGAUUUAGCCCGGACGGGUAAUCCGAAUUAGGGUCUGAAUUUAGCCUGAACUGGUAAUUUAGAUCCAAGCUCAUUAGAGUAAUUGUCGUUGCAGAGGAUUUAGCCUGGACUGGUAAUCCCGCUGCAAGGUUGAGGUUCGCGGGAGUGUGCUCUCUGAAAUGGAUAUGUGCGCACAUGAAUAUGAAUUGACGGACCCGGAAUUGUACAAUAAAUGUGUACCUCUGAAAAUCCAUCGAAAUUCCGAUAAAUUCAACGGGAUAAAUAUGGAAAAAUAACAAGGAAAUGGAAAUCAUGGUAUUGACGAGCUCAUCAAUCAUGGUAUAUAUAUUAUUGAUACAUGGAAAUUAUUGUACUAACUUGAAUGUUGAGUUUGUGCAUGUUAGGGUAAUAAUGCAUUGAAUGGAUAUAUGAAUGUUUAUUAUAUUGUAUUGAAAAUAGUAGGUAAGUAUAAUUCUUGUUACAUGAGCUUACUAAGCACAAAGUACUUACCCCGUUUCCUUUUUCCCUGUUUUGUAGUGUUAAGAGCUCGGAGGUCGGAUUUGGUCGGAGACACAUCACACAGUCAACCUCAAGAUUUCGGUAUAUAAAGAAACUUUAUUUUGGAAAUCAAUGGCAUGUAUAAGCUAACAAAGUAAAUGUUAACGUCAAAUGAAUGUAAAGUUAGCCAUUAGUAUGGUUAACAAACCUGGUUUUAGAUAUGUGAUGACGUUAUCUUAUAAAUAUGCAUGAAUUUAUCUUGAAAAUAUGUUGAAUUGAUUUGGUUGAUGUGGAUUGGUCUCGAUUUAAUAUUGUAAGGAAGGUUAGAUAUUUAUAAAGGGGCUAUAUUAAAUAUAAAAAAAAAUUAAUUCGUAAACUCCGGUAAUUCCUCGUACCCUAUUCUGGCAAUGAAUACGAGUAGGGGUAUUACAUUUAUUGAUAUCAGAGCUACGGUUUAGCCGGUUCUAGGACCGAUGUAGCAAAUACGGGAUUAGCUAUACAUGCCAUUUAAAUUAUUAUUGAUAGUGUGAUAUCUCCUGACCAUUUAAAAUGUGUUUUUCUUAUAGUAAUAUCAUCCGACCGAGCUCAAUCUGAGGAAGCUAGGAGUCAUGCUCCGGCUUCAGUACAAAGAGAAGAAACUAGAAGUAGAAGACCCGAGACAAAGGGUCGAGGGGAGGAGGCAAAAACAGCCUUCUUUCAAAUGAUGAAUGAAUGGUUUAAUCAAUACUUAAGAACUAACCCUGUAGUGCAGCAAGUUCAAGCUCCCCCUCAUGCUCCUCCAUCGGUUCCCGAGAUCCCACAAGGUACAGGUACUGAAUCUGUCAGAAAAGGGAAAGCUCUAGUAGAUAAAAUUCGAAAAUAUGGGGCCGAAGAAUUUCGAGCAGCAGUUGAUGAUGAUUCCGAAUGGGCUGAAUUCUGGUUUGAAAACACUAGUCGGGUUCUGGAGGAAUUAUCUUGUACACCAGAAGAAUGUCUGAAAUGUUCCGUCUCACUGCUAAAAGACACAGCUUACCAUUGGUGGAAUACUAAACCUUCAGUUGUUCUGAAAGAAGAAAUUACAUGGGAAUUCUUUCAGACCGAGUUCAGAAAAAAAUUUAUCAGCCAGAGGUUUCUCGAUCAAAAAAGAAAAGAAUUUCUUGAGUUGAAACAGGGUAACAGAUCAGUAUCUGAAUAUGAAAGAGAAUUUGUUCGAUUGAGUAAAUAUGCUCGAGAAUGGGUACAGUCAGAAGCUGAAAUGUGCAAACGAUUCGAAGAAGGGUUAAAUAAAGACAUUAAACUACUGAUCGGAAUUCUUGAAAUUCGAGAGUUUGCUAUAUUGGCAGAGAGAGCUUAUAAAGUAGAAGAAUUGAGCAAAGAAAAGAAACAUGCUGAGAGGGAAACUCGAAUUUUUAGUAAAAGACCGAUGGGAAAAUCCCAGUUUUCUACUUCAAAGAAAUUGAAGAAGUAUCAGGAUCGUUCUACUUCAGCCAUUGGGUAUUUGGGCAAAUAGCGAGGUUCUUAACGCACUAAUCCAAGGCCUUCUACUCCAUCAGUGACCAGUGUUGGCAGUGUUGGCACUCCUAAACCGAGAUGCCAGUACUGUAAUAAAGCUCAUUUUCGUGAAUGUCGAUUAAAGAGCGGGGCUUGUUACCGAUGUGGUUUUUUUGACCAUUUCCUCAGAGAUUGUCCAGAAAGGGGUGAAAAAGAAGCUGAACAGAUAUCGAAGCUGAGUAAUCCAGUUUCGAGAGGUAGACCACCUCAACCAUCCGGUAAUGUCAGUGGUAGUCGAGGAGCUACAAAAGAUACUGCAGGUAGGCCUGAGGCACGAGCACUUGCUAGGACAUAUGCCAUUCGUGCCAGAGAAGAUGCCUAAACACCCGAUGUUAUUACUGGUACAUUUUCUUUACUUGAUACUGAUAUUACUGCAUUGAUUGAUCCUGGUUCUACGCAUUUAUAUAUAUGUGUUAAACUUGCAAUUAUUAAAAAUUUAUCUGUUGAACCUACUGAAUUUGUGGUUAAAAUCUCGAACCCCCUGGGCUAGUUUGUGUUGGUGGAUAAAAUUUGUAAAAAUUGUCCAAUAAUGGUAAGAGGUUAUUGUUUCUCGGCUGAUUUGAUGUUACUGCCAUUUGAUGAAUUUGACGUGAUAUUGGGCAUGGAUUGGUUAACCCAGCAUGAUGCGGUAAUAAAUUGUAGACAAAAAUAUAUUGUGCUAAAAUGUCAGAAUGGUGAGUUGUUCCGGGUUAAAUCUGAUCAGACAAAGGGGUUAUCUGAUAUGAUUUCGGUAAUGGCAGCACAGAGGUAUGUCAAAAAAGGGUAUGAUGCUUAUUUGGCUCAUGUACUUGACACCAAAGUAUCUGAGUAAAAAAUACAGGCAGUUCCAGUGGUAUGUGAAUUUUCUGAUGUGUUUCUGUAAUGGCCCAAAUUUGAGGUUAUUGGAACAGUGGUUUCGGGACCACAAAUCCGAUGAGAAAAAUUUUAUUUUUCUUAUAUUUUUAUGGUAUACAAUUUCACAAAAUGAUUUAGUGAAAAUUUCGUUCGAAAAUUUCGACGUUUGGGCACUCAAUUUAGUCAAAAGGACUAAAUUGUAAAAAGUGCAAAAGUUGAGUUCUACAUGUUAGAGGUGUCCAAUUGUUAUGAAACUUUAAAUUGGCGGUCCUUAUAUGGUAAUUAUACCAUUGGUAACUUGGUAGACAAAAAUGGACAUGAGAUAAGUGAAAUAGAAAAUUUUUAAGUUAGGGGCAAUUUGGUAAUCUAGUAAUUAAAAUGAAUUAAAAGGGAAAAAGAUGGCAAAAAUCAUCAUCUUCUUCAUUAGGACGAAAUCAGCAAGGGGGGAAGCCAUAGUUAGGGUUUUCAAGCUUCCAAGCUCCAUAGUAAGUGAUCCCAAGUCCCGUUUUUAAUGUUUUUUACGUUUUUGGAGUCCCGGUAGCUUAAUUUAGCUUAUUCUAGCAAUAAUUUAACCUAGGGUUUAUAUUUGGAAAAAUACCCAUAGGUGAAAAGUGUUUAUUUUGAUGUUUUAUGAUAGAAUAUGAAGCUAGAAAUUAUGUUAAACAACUUUUGCUAAGCGAUUUUAAGUGAAAACGAGUAAAACGACAUAAUCGGUAAAAAUACCUAAUGUUCAUAAGUACAUGUUAGAGUGGGAAUUUGAUGUUGCCAUAGAAGGGAAAAAUGUUCAGAAUGUUAUAAAACAUAAGAAUAAGAGAUGAAGUUUAAUUUCCGAGCCUUGGGGCAAAAAUGUAAUUAUGUAAAAGUUUAGGGGCAAAAUUGUAAUUUUGAAAAAGUUAGAGUCGAGGGCUGUUUUGAUGAAUGUGAUUAUUAAAUAAGUUAAAUUUACUAUUUUAGAUCAAGAAGUACGAAACUCGAGGUUAGACAAAGGGAAGAAUAAAGUUGAAGACUAAGUUGGUGAAUUUGGCUAUAAUUGGUACCGAGGUAAGUUUACGGUAAAUAAAUGCAAUAUUUCAAUAUUUAUUAUCAAUGCUGUUAUUUUCCAGCAACUAUGAAUUUAUUUUAUGAAUUUAUUUGAUGAUGAUCUAAGCAUGAAAUGAUAGAGAAUUAAAAUUAAAAAGUCCCGUUGAUACAUAAGGAUGGUACUGGAUACGAAUGUCAUGACAUUUGGGUAAAGAGGUCCCAUGUAAGACCAUGUCUGGGAUAUGGCAUUGGCACCGAGAUGAGAGGUCCCAUGUAAGACCAUGUCUGGGACAUGGCAUUGGCACCGAGAUGAGAGGUCCCAUGUAAGACCAUGUCUGGGACAUGGCGUUGGCACCGAGAUGAGAGGUCCCCUAUAAGACCAUGUCUGGGACAUGGAAUGGGCACCAACAUGAGAACAUCCCAUGUAAGACCAUGUCUGGGACAUGGCUUUGGCAUGUUAUUAUCAGAAGAGACCCGAGUAUCCUUAUUAUUCCAAUGUAGCUCAACGGGCUUGUAAAUGAAUCAUGUUCAUGAAAGUUCAGUUUAAAGCAUAAAUGGCAAGCUCAGGUAAGUUGUGAGACUUAAGAACUUAUUAUACUAUCAAUUGAUGUUCAACGAUGCAGCAAGGAUUGAGUAAGUUAUGCACACAAGUAUUCUAAGUAAACAAGUAAGAGAACUAGUAUGAGAUUAACUAAAGAGUAAACUAGAGAUAUAGACAUUGAGUUUAAUUAUUUAAGUUAAAUAUUGUUAUUUAUUUGCUAGUAAACUUACUAAGCUUUAUGCUUACUUCUUUUAUUUCUCUUUCUCUUAUAGUAUUGCAAAGCUACUUCAAGGAUCCUAAAGAAGUCGGAGAUCGUCCACACUAUCAACUACAACUGCUCGGUAUUUUAUAUCGAAACACGUUUGAGUUAUGGCAUGUAUAGGGAUUUAGUUAUUUUGUAUGUUUGUAAUGAUGAUUUUGCUAAUGAGUGAUGUGUAAGUAUUUGAUGAUGUAUGGUCAUUAAAAUGGUUAAGGAUGAAGGUGUUUGUUGUUAUGAAAGAUUAGGUGAUAAAUUAUGCAUGGAAAUCAUGAAAGGAUUAAAUUUUGCAAAGAAACAGAAUUCAGGCAGCACAGUGACGUGAAUUUGAAAAAUCACCCAAGAUAGUAUAAAAUGAAUUAGAGGGUUAAUGAUAUAUGGAAUUAAAUCUUGUUGAGUCUAUUUUCAUGGAAAAAUAACGGUGUAGAAAAAGGAAAUUUAUAUUUUAAGAUAUGUGAAUUUUAGUAAGAUAGGGUCAGAACUGUUUUUGGAGUCCCCUGUUCUGAGUUUAGAAAAUAAUUACAAAUUGUAAAAAAAUGGUUAUGAGUUGAAAUUUACAUGCUUAGAUUCCUUAAUGAGUCUAUUUUCUGUAGAAACAAGUAAGAACUUCAUAUGAAAAUCUUACAGUGAGAAAACUUAUUUUUAGUAACAAGAGGUCAGAAUAGUCAAAUGGUGAAACAGGGGAGACUUUAACUAAUAAAAUGUACUAAUUGGCUAAACCAAAAAUUCUAAAAAUUUUAUGGUGAGUAGAUAUAUGAGUCUAGUUUCAGCGAAAAUUUACGGAAUUAAAUUUAGAGUUCUGUAUCUCAAGUUAUAAUUAAUUUAGCAACUGCUGCGCGAUUGGACAGAUUUGCUGUAAAUAGUGAAAUAAAUUUUCAAACCUAGUUUUUAUGCUCCGAAUUGGUAAGAUAAGCUAAGUAAUGCCUCGUGCUCGACUCCGGAAACGGUCUCGGGUAAGGGGUGUUACAUUUUGUUGGUAUCAGAGCAGGUUUAGUCGGUUCUUGGAAAUACUCGGUAUGAAUAAGUGUCUACGUAUACAUGCCAUACUUAUAUAUUUUGAUAGUGUGACGACUCCUGACGAUUUUAAAAUGUUUUCUUUUAUCGUUAUGGAUCCUGAACGAGCUAGUACAGAUGAAGUAGAAAGUAAUGCGCUUGCUUCCGCAGAAGGGACGACGCCACUAGAUGUUAAUGUUAGUGAAAGGCCUGCAUCAGUUAGACAGGGAGGAGGAGCUAGAGAAGCCUUCUUCCAAGCCAUGAAUGAUUGGUUUGCCGAGUUCGUUCGUACGAAUCCGGCUGUAAGACCUCCACCCCCUCAAGAUUCACAGGUUCCCCAUGUAGCUUCCCCAGCUGCAGGUAUAUUUAUCACGGAGAGACCACCUGUUGAUAAGAUUAGGAAGCAAGGGGCUGAAGAAUUUCGGGCUACCAAAGAUGACGAUGCAGAAAAAGCAGAAUUCUGGCUUGAGAAUACCAUCAGGGUUUUUGAAGAAUUAUCUUGUACACCGGAAGAAUGUAUGAAGUGUGUGGUCUCACUUCUCAGAGAUUCCGCUUAUCAUUGGUGGAAGACUCUCGUGUCUAUCGUACCGAGUGAGAGGGUUACUUGGGAUUUCUUUCAGGAGGAGUUUCGAAGGAAGUACAUCAGCCAAAGAUUUAUAGAUCAGAAAAGGAAGGAGUUUCUUGAGCUAAAACAAGGUAAGAUGUCCGUGACUGAAUAUGAACGCGAAUUUGUCAGACUUAGUAAGUAUGCUCGGGAAUUUGUAUCCACCGAAGCCAACAUGUGCAAGAGAUUUGAAGAUGGGCUUAAUGAUGACAUCCGACUAUCAGUGGGUGUAUUGGAAAUCAGAGAGUUUGUUGUUUUGGUAGAAAGAGCUUGUAAAGUAGAAGACUUGUUAAAAGAAAAAGAGAAGAGCAAAGCUGAAGCUGGAGCGCAGGAUACAAAGAAGAGGCAAAUGAGUAAAUCAUUUCAGUCUACAUCUAAGAGGCCUAGGGAGCUCUCUAGCGGAUCACAUUUUCCACAUAUAUAUUCUGGCCGAAGCAGAAGUAGAAGAUUCGAGGGUUUUAGAGCUCAAACCACUACAGUUGCAAGUACAGGCAGUACUCGACCUCCUAGGCCUGAAUGUUCUCAAUGUGGGAGACGCCACCCCGGAGAGUGUAGAGCAGGUGAAAAUGUUUGUUUUAGAUGUGGAGCAUCCGAUCACUUUAUUCGGGAUUGUCCUGAAACAACUAAAAGAGAAGAAAUAACGAGUGCGAGAUCAGGUAAUGCUCCUACCAGAGAUAGACCGCAGAGAAACCCAGGAGUGGGGGCGAGUAAUAGGGGUGCAUCCAGAGAUUCAGCGGUUAGAUCAGAUGUUAGAGCACCUGCAAGAUCAUAUGCUAUUCGAGCUCGUGAAGAGGCGUUCUCUCCUGAUGUAAUUGCGGGUACAUUUUCUCUCUAUGAUACUACUGUUAUUGCAUUAAUUGAUCCUGGCUCUACACAUUCAUAUAUAUGCACAAAAUUAGCAUUUGUUAAAAAUUUGUCUGUUGAACCUACUGAAUUUAUAGUUAAAGUCUCGAACCCCCUGGGCCAGUUUGUGAUAGUGGAUAAAGUUUGUAAAAAUUGUCCACUGAUGGUAAAAGGUAUUUGUUUCCCGGUUGACUUGAUGUUAUUGCCUUUUGAUGAGUUUGAUGUGAUAUUGGGCAUGGAUUGGUUAACUCAGCAUGAUGCAGUAGUAAACUGUAGACAAAAAUAUGUUGUGUUGAAAUGCCAGAAUGGAGAAUUACUUUGGGUUAAAUCUAAUCAGACAGAGGGAUUAUCCGAUACGAUUUCAGUUAUGACAGCUCAGAGGUGUGUUAGAAAAGGGUAUGAUGUUUAUUUGGCGUAUGUGUUGGAUACUAAAGUAUCUGAGUUAAAGAUACAGGCAGUGCCAGUUGUAUGUGAAUUUUCUGAUGUGUUUCCAGAGGAAUUACCAGGGUUGCCACCAGAAAGAGAAGUGGAAUUUUCUAUAGAUUUGAUUCCGGGAACUGCCCCAAUUUCCAUAGCUCCGUAUCGUAUGGCUCCUACAGAAUUAAAAGAGUUAAAGGCACAGUUACAGGAACUUGUUGAUAGAGGUUUUGUUCGUCCGAGUCAUUCACCUUGGGGUGCUCCAGUUCUGUUUGUGAAAAAGAAAGACGGGUCUUUGAGAUUGUGUAUUGACUAUCGGCAGCUUAAUAAGGUGCCACAGUAUUUUCAAAGAUUGAUCUCCGAUCGGGUUAUUAUCAGUUACGGGUAAAAGAGCCAGAUGUGCCAAAGACAGCUUUCAGAACCAGGUAUGGGCAUUAUGAGUUUCUGGUUAUGCCGUUUGGGUUGACUAAUGCACCUGCAGUAUUCAUGGAUUUGAUGAACCGGAUAUUCAGACCGUAUCUAGAUAGGUUUGUAGUAGUUUUUAUUGAUGACAUUUUAGUUUAUUCUCGGGAUGAAACUGAGCAUGCAGAACAUUUGAAAAUAGUGUUGCAAAUUCUGCGUGAAAAGAAACUUUAUGCUAAAUUCAGUAAAUGUGAAUUUUGGCUUCGAGAGGUAGGUUUUCUCGGACAUAUUGUAUCCGCAGAAGGCAUCAGGGUAGAUCCGAGUGAAAUUUCAGCUAUUGUCAAUUGGAGUCCACCGAAGAAUGUAUCUGAAGUUAGAAGUUUCUUGGGUUUAGCUGGUUAUUAUCGGAGAUUUGUACAAGGGUUUUCUAUGAUAGCUUCUCCAAUGACCCGUUUAUUACAGAAAGAUGUUAAAUUUGAAUGGACAGAAAAAUGCCAACAAAGUUUCGACCGAUUGAAGGAGUUGUUGACGAAAGCACUUGUGUUGGUACAGCCUGAAUCGGGUAAGGAAUUUAUUAUUUAUAGUGAUGCAUCAUUAAAUGGUUUGGGUUGUGUCUUGAUGCAAGAAGAUAAAGUAAUAGCCUAUGCUUCAAGACAACUUAAGCCACAUGAAAGAAACUACCCGGUACAUGAUCUCGAGUUAGCUGCUAUUGUAUUUGCAUUGAAAAUAUGGCGGCAUUAUUUGUAUGGUGAAAAGUGUCAUAUUUAUACUGAUCACAAAAGCUUGAAAUAUUUGAUGACACAGAAAGAUUUGAAUUUGAGACAACGCAGGUGGCUUGAAUUGAUAAAGGAUUAUGAUUUGGUUAUUGAUUACUAUCCGGGUAAGGCUAACGUGGUAGCUGAUGCUUUGAGCCGAAAAUCUCUAUUUGUUUUACGAGCUAUGAAUACCCGGUUGUCACUGUCUAAUGAUGGUUCAAUCAUAGCUGAAUUGAGAGCUAAAUCGACAUUUCGUCAACAAAUAUGUGAAGCUCAGAGGAAUGAUGAUAAAUUACAGGCUAAACGGGUGCAUUGUGAGUCAGGUAAUGAUUCAGAAUUUCAGAUUGGAACUGAUGGUUGUUUAUUAUUCAGAGGCAGAGUAUGUGUACCGAAGAAUUCAGAACUUGUACAGAAGAUUUUACACGAAGCACACAGUGGUAUUAUGUCCGUACAUCCGGGAGGUAAUAAAAUGUAUAAUGACUUGAAAAAGAUGUAUUGGUGGCCGGGUAUGAAACGUGAUAUCUCUGAGUUUGUAUCAAGAUGUUUGGUAUGUCAACAGGUUAAAGCUGAACAUCAGGUACCUUCGGGGUUGCUUCAGCCAAUUACUAUACCAGAAUGGAAAUGGGAAAGAAUUACUAUGGAUUUUGUGUCCGGAUUACCAUUGUCUCCGAAGAAGAAAGAUGCCAUUUGGGUGAUCGUUGAUCGAUUAACAAAAUCAGCACAUUUUAUCCCGGUACGUAUGGAUUAUUCUCUAGAUAAAUUAGCUGAACUGUAUAUAUCUGAGAUUGUUAGACUACAUGGAGUGCCUGUCUCCAUUAUAUCAGAUAGAGACCCCCGAUUUACGUCUCGUUUCUGGAACAAAUUGCAAGAAGCUUUGGGUACUCAGUUGCAUUUCAGUACUGCAUUUCAUCCUCAGACAGAUGGCUAAUCUGAGCGUGUAAUUCAGGUAUUGGAAGAUAUGCUCCGAUGUUGUGUAUUAGAAUUUCAAGGUAAUUGGGAAAGGUAUCUACCUUUAAUUGAAUUUGCUUAUAAUAACAGUUAUCAGUCCAGUAUUAAAAUGGCUCCGUAUGAAGCUUUGUAUGGUAGAAAAUGUAGAACACCAUUAUAUUGGACAGAGCUCAGUGAAAAGAAGACACACGGGGUUGAUUUGAUCCGGGAAACAGAAGAAAAAGUAAGGCUGAUUCGAGAUAGUUUAAAAGCAGCUUCCGAUCGUCAGAAGUCAUACGCCGACCUUAAACGAAGGGAGAUUGAAUUUCAGGUGGGUGAUAAAGUAUUCUUAAAAGUGUCUCCUUGGAAGAAAGUUCUCCGGUUCGGUCGAAAGGGUAAAUUGAGUCCAAGAUUUAUCGGACCAUAUGAGAUUAUAGAAAGAAUUGGACCAGUUGCUUACCGAUUGGCUUUACCACCGGAACUCGACAAAAUUCAUAAUGUAUUUCAUGUAUCUAUGCUACGACGUAUCGAUCAGAUCCUUCACAUGUUAUUACUCCAACAGAAGUAGAAAUUUAGCCGGAUAUGACUUAUAAUGAAGAACCGGUUAAAGUAUUAGUACGAGAAACAAAGGAGCUUAGAAACAAAAAAGUAAAUCUGGUGAAAGUGCUAUGGCAAAAGCACGGGAUUGAGGAAGCAACAUGGGAACCGGAAGAGACAAUGAGGAAGCAAUACCCGAAUCUCUUUACUGGUAAGAUUUUCGAGGACGAAAAUCCUAAAAAGGGGGGAGAGUUGUAAUGGCCCAAAUUUGAGGUUAUCGGAACAGUGGUUUCGGGACCACAAAUCCGAUGAGAAAAAUUUUAUUUUUCUUAUAUUUUUAUGGUCUACAAUUUCACAAAAUGAUUUAGUGAAAAUUUCGUUCGAAAAUUUCGACGUUUGGGCACUCAAUUUAGUCAAAAGGACUAAAUUGUAAAAAGUGCAAAAGUUGAGUUCUACAUGUUAGAGGUGUCCAAUUGUUAUGAAACUUUAAAUUGGAGGUCCUUAUAUGGUAAUUAUACCAUUGGUAACUUGGUAGACAAAAAUGGACAUGAGAUAAGUGAAAUAGAAAAUUUUUAAGUUAGGGGCAAUUUGGUAAUCUAGUAAUUAAAAUGAAUUAAAAGGGAAAAAGAUGGCAAAAAUCAUCAUCUUCUUCAUUAGGAUGAAAUCAGCAAGGGGGGAAGCCAUAGUUAGGGUUUUCAAGCUUCCAAGCUCCAUAGUAAGUGAUCCCAAGUCCCGUUUUUAAUGUUUUUUACGUUUUUGGAGUCCCGGUAGCUUAAUUUAGCUUAUUCUAGCAAUAAUUUAACCUAGGGUUUAUAUUUGGAAAAAUACCCAUAGGUGAAAAGUGUUUAUUUUGAUGUUUUAUGAUAUAAUAUGAAGCUAGAAAUUAUGUUAAACAACUUUUGCUAAGCGAUUUUAAGUGAAAACGAGUAAAACGACAUAAUCGGUAAAAAUACCUAAUGUUCAUAAGUACAUGUUAGAGUGGGAAUUUGAUGUUGCCAUAGAAGGGAAAAAUGUUCAGAAUGUUAUAAAACAUAAUAAUAAGAGAUGAAGUUUAAUUUCCGAGCCUUGGGGCAAAAAUGUAAUUAUGUAAAAGUUUAGGGGCAAAAUUGUAAUUUUGAAAAAGUUAGAGUCGAGGGCUGUUUUGAUUAAUGUGAUUAUUAAAUAAGUUAAAUUUACUAUUUUAGAUCAAGAAGUAAGAAACUCGAGGUUAGACAAAGGGAAGAAUAAAGUUGAAGACUAAGUUGGUGAAUUUGGCUAUAAUUGGUACCGAGGUAAGUUUACGGUAAAUAAAUGCAAUAUUUCAAUAUUUAUUAUCAAUGCUGUUAUUUUCCAGCAACUAUGAAUUUAUUUUAUGAAUUUAUUUGAUGAUGAUCUAAGCAUGAAAUGAUAGAGAAUUAAAAUUAAAAAGUCCCGUUGAUACAUAAGGAUGGUACUGGAUACGAAUGUCAUGACAUUUGGGUAAAGAGGUCCCAUGUAAGACCAUGUCUGGGACAUGGCAUUGGCACCGAGAUGAGAGGUCCCAUGUAAGACCAUGUCUGGGACAUGGCAUUGGCACCGAGAUGAGAGGUCCCAUGUAAGACCAUGUCUGGGACAUGGCAUGGGCACCAACAUGAGAACAUCCCAUGUAAGACCAUGUCUGGGACAUGGCUUUGGCAUGUUAUUAUCAGAAGAGACCCGAGUAUCCUUAUUAUUCCAAUGUAGCUCAACGGGCUUGUAAAUGAAUCAUGUUCAUGAAAGUUCAGUUUAAAGCAUAAAUGGCAAGCUCAGGUAAGUUGUGAGACUUAAGAACUUAUUAUACUAUCAAUUGAUGUUCAACGAUGCAGCAAGGAUUGAGUAAGUUAUGCACACAAGUAUUCUAAGUAAACAAGUAAGAGAACUAGUAUGAGAUUAACUAAAGAGUAAACUAGAGAUAUAGACAUUGAGUUUAAUUAUUUAAGUUAAAUAUUAUUAUUUAUUUGCUAGUAAACUUACUAAGCUUUAUGCUUACUUUUUUUAUUUCUCUUUCUCUUAUAGUAUUGCAAAGCUACUUUAAGGAUCCUAAAGAAGUCGGAGAUCGUCCACACUAUCAACUACAACUGCUCGGUAUUUUAUAUCGAAACACGUUUGAGUUAUGGCAUGUAUAGGGAUUUAGUUAUUUUGUAUGUUUGUAAUGAUGAUUUUGCUAAUGAGUGAUGUGUAAGUAUUUGAUGAUGUAUGGUCAUUAAAAUGGUUAAGGAUGAAGGUGUUUGUUGUUAUGAAAGAUUAGGUGAUAAAUUAUGCAUGGAAAUCAUGAAAGGAUUAAAUUUUGCAAAGAAACAGAAUUCAGGCAGCACAGUGACGUGAAUUUGAAAAAUCACCCAAGAUAGUAUAAAAUGAAUUAGAGGGUGAAUGAUAUAUGGAAUUAAAUCUUGUUGAGUCUAUUUUCAUGGAAAAAUAACGGUGUAGAAAAAGGAAAUUUAUAUUUUAAGAUAUGUGAAUUUUAGUAAGAUAGGGUCAGAACUAUUUUUGGAGUCCCCUGUUCUGAGUUUAGAAAAUAAUUACAAAUUGUAAAAAAAUGGUUAUGAGUUGAAAUUUACAUGCUUAGAUUCCUUAAUGAGUCUAUUUUCUGUAGAAACAAGUAAGAACUUCAUAUGAAAAUCCUACAGUGAGAAAACUUAUUUUUAGUAACAAGAGGUCAGAAUAGUCGAAUGGUGAAACAGGGGAGACUUUAACUAAUAAACUGUACUAAUUGGCUGAACCAAAAAUUCUAAAAAUUUUAUGGUGAGUAGAUAUAUGAGUCUAGUUUCAGAUAAAAUUUACGGAAUUAAAGUUCGAGUUCUGUAGCUCAAGUUAUAAUUAAUUUAGCAACUUCUGCGCGAUUGGACAGAUUUGCUGUAAAUAGUGAAAUAAAUUUUCAAACCUAGUUUUUAUGCUCCGAAUUGGUAAGAUAAGCUAAGUAAUGCCUCGUGCUCGACUCCGGAAACGGUCUCGGGUAAGGGGUGUUACAGUAUCCAGAGGAAUUACCAGGAUUGCCACCAGAAAGAGAAGUGGAAUUUUCUAUAGAUUUGAUUCCGGGAACUACUCCGAUCUCCAUAGCUCCAUAUCGUAUGGCUCCUACAGAAUUAAAGGAGUUAAAGACACAAUUGCAAGAACUUGUUGACAGGGGUUUUGUCCGACCGAGUCAUUCACCUUGGGGUGCUCCGGUUCUGUUUGUGAAAAAGAAAUAUGGGUCUUUGAGAUUGUGUAUCGACUACCGGCAGCUUAAUAAAGUAACCAUAAAGAAUAAGUACCCGUUACCCCGGAUUGAUGAUUAAUUUGAUCAGCUGAAAGGUGCUACUAUGUUUUCAAAGAUUGAUCUUCGAUCAGGUUAUUAUCAGUUACGAGUAAAGGAGUCAGAUGUGCCAAAAACAACCUUUAGAACCAGGUACGGGCAUUAUGAGUUUUUAGUUAUGCCGUUUGGGCUAACUAAUGCACCUGCAGUAUUCAUGGAUUUGAUGAACUGGAUAUUCAGACCGUACUUAGACAGAUUUGUAGUGGUAUUCAUUGAUGAUAUUUUAGUUUAUUCUCGGGAUGAAGAAGAACAUGCAGAACAUUUGAGAAUUGUGUUGCAAAUUCUACGAGAGAAGCAGUUAUAUGCUAAAUUCAGUAAAUGUGAAUUUUGGCUUCGAGAAGUGGGUUUCUUGGACAAAUUGUAUCUGCCGAAGGCAUCAGGGUAGAUCCAAGUAAAAUAUCAGCUAUUGUCAAUUGGAAUCCACCGAAGAAUGUAUCUGAAGUUAGAAGUUUCUUGGGUUUAGCUGGUUAUUAUCGGAGAUUUGUACAGGGAUUCUCUAUGAUAGCUUCUCAAAUGACUCGAUUAUUGCAGAAAGAUGUGAAGUUCGAGUGGACUGAUGAAUGUCAACAAAGUUUCAAUUGAUUGAAAGACCUAUUAACGAAAGUACCUGUAUUAGUGCAGCCUGAACCGGAUAAGGAAUUUGUUAUUUACAGUGAUGCCUCAUUAAAUGGUUUAGGUUGUGUUUUGAUGCAAGAAGGUAAAGUAAUAGCCUAUGCUUCAAGACAACUUAAACCACAUGAAAGAAAUUACCUAGUACAUGAUCUUGAAUUAGCUGCUAUUGUAUUUGCGCUGAAGAUAUGACGGCAUUACUUGUACGGUGAGAAAUGUCAUAUUUAUACUGAUCAUAAAAGCUUGAAAUAUUUGAUGACACAGAAAGAUUUGAAUUUAAGACAGCGCAUGUGGCUUGAACUGAUAAAUGACUAUGAUUUGAUUAUUGAUUACCAUCCGGGUAAGGCUAAUGUUGUAGCUGAUGCUUUGAGCCAGAAAUCUCUGUUUGCUUUACGAGCUAUGAAUACCCGGUUAUUAUUGAUUGAUGAUGGUUCAAUCCUAGCAGAAUUAUGAGCUAAACCGACAUUUUUACAGCAAAUAUGUGAAGCUCAGAAGAAUGAUGAGAAGUUACAAGUUAAACGGGCACAGUGUGAGUCAGGUAAUGAUUCUGAAUUUCAGAUUGGUUCUGAUGGUUGUUUAUUAUUUAGAGGUAGGGUAUGUGUACCUCAGAAUUCAGAGCUCAUACAGAAGAUUCUACGCGAGGCUCACAGCGGUAUUAUGUCUGUACAUCCGGGGAGUAAUAAAAUGUAUAAUGAUCUGAAAAAGAUGUACUUGUGGUCGGGAAUGAAACGUGAUAUCUCUGAGUUUGUAUCAAGGUGUUUAAUAUGUCAACAAGUUAAAGCUGAACAUCAGGUACCUUCGGCGUUACUUCAGCCAAUUACUAUACCAGAAUGGAAAUGGGAAAGAAUCACUUUGGAUUUUGUAUCGGGGCUACCUUUGUCUCCGAGGAAAAAAGAUGCUAUUUGGGUGAUUGUUGACCGAUUAACAAAGUCAGCUCACUUUAUUCCGGUACGUAUGGAUUAUUCUUUAGAUAAACUAGCUGAACUGUACAUAUCUGAGAUUGUCAGGCUAUAUGGAGUGCCUGUCUCCAUUAUAUCAGAUAGAGAUCCCCGAUUUACGUCUCGUUUCUGGGACAAAUUGCAAGAAGCCUUGGGUACUCAGUUGUAUUUCAGCACUGCAUUUCAUCCUCAGACAGAUGGUCAAUCUGAGCGUGUAAUUCAAGUAUUGGAAGAUAUGCUCCGUUGUUGUAUACUAGAGUUUGAAGGUAAUUGGGAGAGGUAUCUACCUUUGAUUGAAUUUGCUUACAAUAACAGUUAUCAGUCUAGUAUUAAAAUGGCUCCAUAUGAAGCAUUGUAUGGUAGAAAAUGUAGAACACCGUUAUAUUGGACAGAGCUUAGUGAAAGGAAGAUACAUGAGGUUGAUUUGAUCCUGGAAAUAGAAGAAAAAGUAAAGGUUAUUCGGAAUAGUCUAAAAGCAGCUUCCGAUCGUCAAAAAUCAUAUGCCGAUCUUAAACGAAAAGAGAUUGAAUUUCAAGUCGGUGACAAGGUAUUUCUGAAAGUGUCUCCUUAGAAGAAAGUCCUCCGAUUCGGUCGAAAGGGUAAACUGAGUCCAAGAUUUAUCGGGCCUUAUGAAAUCAUAGAAAGAAUUGGACCGGUCGCUUAUCGAUUGGCAUUACCACCGGAACUUGAUAGAAUCCACAAUGUUUUUCAUGUAUCUAUGUUACGAUGAUAUCGAUCAGAUCCUUCACAUGUUAUUUCUCCGACAGAAGUAGAGAUUCAACUGGAUAUGACUUACAGUGAAGAACCGGUCAAGAUAUUGGCGCGGAAGACAAAAGAGUUUAGAAAUAAAAAGAUAAAUUUGGUGAAUGUAUUGUGGCAAAAGCACGGGAUUGAGGAAGCGACAUGGGAACCGGAGGAGGCAAUGAGGAAACAAUACUCAAACCUCUUUACUGGUAAGAUUUUCGAGGACGAAAAUCCUUAAAGGGGGGGAGAGUUGUAAUGGCCUAAAUUCAAGGUUAUCGGAACAAUGGUUUCGUAACCAUAGAUCCGAUUUAAAGAUAAAUUUAUUUCAAUAUUUUUACUUGAAAAUUGAUAUGAUAGGAAAAUCGUAUGAAAAUAUUGAUAGAAAAAUUUUACCAAUUUAGUGAUUAGAUAGAAAAAGAAAUUAUUGAAGAAAUUGGGUAAAAACAAGGUAUCGAGACCUCUAUCUCGUAAAACCGAGUAAAAAAUAAUUUUAUAAAUAUUUAUGAAAUGUUAUUAAUUUGGUAUUAAAAUUUCGUUAGGAAAUUUUAAUGUUUGGGUAGUCAAUUAAAUGAAAAGGACUAAAUUGUAAUAGGUGUAAAAGUUGCUAGAGUGAUUAAAUAGCUUAAGAGUCUAAUGAGAAAGGAUUUAAAAGGCAAUUAGACCCAAAAGUUAUUUGGGCUGGACGGAAAGGGUAUGAAAUCAGCAGAAAAAUUGAUAAAUUAAGGGUAAAAUUAGAAUAUUGCAAAAUUAACUAAAUAAAGCUAGGACUAAAUAGGAAAUAUCUAGAUUUCUCUUCAUUUCUCUUCAAUUCCAGCAGCUAAAAACGCCAUAGGAGGGUUCUCUAAGCUGAUAUUUCAUAAUUUUUGCACCAAGUGAGUUAAUCCUUGCCUUUUUCUUGUAAUUUUUGUGUUUCUAAGACUUUUACAACUAGGUCCUACUAUUAAAUUCAUUAGUUUUUGAUUUCAUGGAUGAAAUUGAAAGUCACCAUGGUUGAGUUCUGUAAUUUUAUGAUGAAAUAGAAUUAAAUUAAAGCUUUAAUUUGUUUAUGAGAUGAUUUUAUUAGGUAAUUUCAAUAGAAAUUGAUUUUUAGGACCUAAUUGUGAAAAUGCUUGGAAUUAAAGUCUAUUGCUGAAAUUAUGAUUCCUAAAGGUUGUAAACUAGUUUAAGGUGAUAGAAUAAAAUGUUAAUUGAGAAAAAUCAGCUCAAUUGAGAGGCUAAUUGAGUAGGGACGAAAUUAUCAUUUAUUAAAAGGUUAAGGGAAAAAUGGUAAUAAACAACUUGCACAAAAACAGUUUGGACAGCAGCAGUAGACUAAUUUUGAAAAAUCACCAUAAAUUUUAGAAAUCGAAUUAGAAUAUGAAAAAAAUAUAGAAUUAAAGCUUAUUGAGUCUAGUUUCUCAUAGAAGAAAUAGUGUAAGCAAUGGAUUUGUAAAUUUUGAGAUAUUAUGACUUUGAAAAAUCAUAAAAAAUUUAAGAAAAACAAUUAUGGGCUUAAAUUUAUAUUUCUAGAAUCCUUAAUGAGUCUAUUUUUAAUAGAAACAAACGAGAACAUUAUUUGAAUUUUGUAUGAAGAGAUAAUUAAUUUUUAGUGAAGGAGGGUCAGAACUGUCGACAGCAGAACAGGGGUGACUUUAAAGAAUAAACUGUACUUAUUGGCUAAACCAAAAAUUAUGAAAAUUUUAUGGUAAAAAUAUAUAUGAGUCCAGUUUCAGGGAAAAUUAACGGAUCUCAAUUUGGAGUUCCGUAGCUCAAGUUAUAAAUAAUUUAAUGACUAUGACUCAAAUAGACAGCUUUGAAUGAACUAUAAAUAAUAGUUGAAUUAUAGAGAAUGUUGCAUAUGAACAUGAAAUGUAUUAAAUUGAUAAUUAAAUUUAUUUAUUUAGAUCCGGAAGAUUCAAAUACGAAGCUAGAUCGAGGAAAGGAAAAAGUUCGGGAUUAGUAGAUUUUUAUUGUUUACAAACAAGUAUCAAGGUAAGUUCAUGUAACUUGAAUUAUAUUCUUAAAUGCUUGAAAUGCAUGUUUUUGAUAUGAAUAUGAUUUGAAUGUUCAUUAUAUGGAAAUUUAUGAAACAUUGAUAUAUUUGAUAAAAUGGGAAGAAAUCCCGUUUGAAUGAAAGGAAAAUUCGAUGGAUCUUUGAAAAGGAAUUGACGGUAAAAAGGAUCUAGCCCGAACGGGUGAUCCUAUCCUGAUAUAGCCCUCCCGAAGAAUAUGUGUAAAAUGGAUUUAGCCCGGACGGGUAAUCCGAAUUAGGGUCUGAGUUUAGCCUGGACUGGUAAUUCAGAUCCAAGCUCAUUAGAGUAAUUUCCGUUGCAGGGGAUUUAGCCUGGACUGGUAAUCCCGACAAUACUCUAUGAGUUUAUAUUGCAGGGGAUUUAGCCUGGACUGGUAAUCCCGCUGCAAGGUUGAGGUUCGCGGGAGUGUGCUCUCUGAAAUGGAUAUGUGCGCACAUGAAUAUGAAUUGACAGACCCGGAAUUGUGCAAUAAAUGUGUACCUCUGAAAAUCCAUUGAAAUUUCGAUAAAUUCAACGGGAUAAAUAUGGAAAAAUAACAAAGAAAUAGAAAUCAUGGUAUUGACGUGCUCAUCAAUCAUGGUAUAUAUAUUAUUGAUACAUGGAAAUUAUUGUACUAACUUGAAUGUUGAGUUUGUGCAUGUUAGGGUAAUAAUGCAUUGAAUGGAUAUAUGAAUGUUUAUUAUAUUGUAUUGAAAAUAUUAGGUAAGUAUAAUUCUUGUUACAUGAGCUUACUAAGUACAAAGUGCUUACCCCGUUUCCUUUUUCCCUGUUUUGUAGUGUUAAGAGCUCAGAGGUCGGAUUUGGUCGGAGACACAUCACACUGUCAACCUCAGGAUUUCGGUAUAUAAAGAAACUUUAUUUUGGAAAUCAAUGGCAUGUAUAAGCUAACAAAGUAAAUGUUAAUGUGAAAUGAAUGUAAAGUUAGCCAUUAGUAUGGUUAACAAACCUGGUUUUAGAUAUGUGAUGACGUUAUCUUAUAAAUAUGCAUGAAUUUAUCUUGAAAAUAUGUUGAAUUGAUUUGGUUGAUGUGGAUUGGUCUCGAUUUAAUAUUCUAGGGAAGGUUAGAUAUUUAUAAAGGGGCUAUAUUGAAUAUAAAAAAAAAUUUAAUUCGUAAACUCCGAUAAUGCCUUGUACCCUAUUCCGGCAAUGAAUAUGGGUAGGGGUAUUACAUUGGUAGUUUAAUGAUUUGUCUUAUUUGGUGGUUUAACAACAUAUCUGUUCUAGCAGCUUGAUUGCAAUUCUGGUAGCUUGACCACACUUAUUUGAUUUUGGCGAAUUACUGCAUUAUUUCUGGUAGUCUUGACUGCACAUUUCUGUAUAGUGACAAAUGAUCACUUAUUUAGUGUGUGGGGUUGGAUGGGUAUUUAUUACCCUAAUUAGUGUGUAGAGAUGGACGGAGAUGGUGUGUAGCAAAUAAGGGUAGGAUUUGUAUUUGAUAUGUGAAAUAUGUUGCAUCGCAUGUUAUGCCAUGCCAUUUGUAUCUGAUAUGUGAAAUAUGUUGCGUUGCAUAAAAUUGUCAUGCCAUUUGUAUCUGUUCAGUUAUGGAAUUCUGUUUGACUAUCUAAUAUCUGUUAUAUGCUUGAGAGCUGAGUUGCACAUCAAACUUUGUUAGGUCAUCCUAUAUAUAUUUAUUUUAUCUUCUCAAGUAAUCAAUAAACUUAGGACUGAGCGGUGUGCGGAAGCUCAGAUUGGAUUCUCAAUUAAUAAAAUGAGACGAUUUAUGUUUUUAAAUUUAACUCUAGACUUGUUGGACUAUUUAAAUAUUUUGGACGUUAUUUUUAUGUUUCUUUUUUGGGUUUUCUACUGGAUUAUGCUUUUAAUAAAUUGCAAAAGUAUUCAUUUUCACAUUUUGAAAUCAUGCUUUACAAAUUAAUGACUUUGAAACUUCCAUUGUGAAACUAAGUAACAAAUUAACCGUCUUUUGUUAAGUAAAUAAGACCUACAUGUAUUUUUCUGAAAAAUUGCCAGAGAUUUGUCAAAAUUGACAUUUUUCGAAAAACACACAUUUCUAGUUCAAAAUUUGGAAUUUAAAACAAGUUCAUGUAAUUCCUCAAGACUCGACCGUAACGUUUAAGUCGGGUUUAGAGCGUUACAAGAGAAACUAAACCCAAGCCGUCGGGCUUACCCAAUACACCUAACCUAGCUCCCCUCAUUCUCACAUGGACCAUUAGAACAAUCGGCAACUAAAAUAUCCUAGAUAGAAAACAGACAACACACAAAUUCAGGGUAGUUUGUAUAACGUAAAGCUGCUCGCAUCGGAGUGAGAGUAGCUUUAUUAGAACUCAGGGUAGUUACGAUAUAUGUAACGAAAGUUACAUUGUUUCCAUUUUAACAUAAUUAAUGGACGAGAUUGUUCUGGAUACCUUUGGGAUAUGAUAGUAAAUGUUAUAUAAUGACAUGUAAUUACAGAGUAAUUAAUAUAUAUGUGGUCCAAGUGAGAGAUUGUUGAAAAAUAUGGACAUCACAUAUAUAAUAAUAGUAAUUACAUGUUACUGUUUACUAUCAUAAAAGAUUAACCCAAAUUAAAAGUAAUCUAAUUGGUUAAGGUUUAUUGGGCUUUAGUUAUUAAAUGAAGUGGGGGACAAAUAUGUGUAGAAACUCUAACAACUAAUUUCUAAUUGAUGAUGGAUUGAUUGGAAAUUAGGGUUAAUGUGCAAAAAUUAUAUAUUAGGGUUGUGGUUCCCAAAUUAUACAUCUGUAACUUUUCUAAUAUCCCUCUUUAGAAAAGAGAGAGCCACAUUUUUUGAAUUACUUGUGUGCUAAUUUGGAAGAUUAAAACCAUAAGAUCUAAAGAUUUCAAGAAAUUGAUGGAUUCAUGUAUGCUUCCACAUCUAGUUUUGUUCUUGAUUGAUUCUUGAUGAUUUGACAUAAUAGAUCUUGAUUUGUUGAGUUUUAUAUUAGAUCUUGUUUUACCGUUCUAACAAAAGAAACAAGAGAAAUUCAAUUUGUAAAUUCAGAAUUUAUAAAAGUAUGGAUAAAAGCUAAAUCUUCUAACCAAUGAUUUUUUUUUUUACACAAUUACAAAAUGUUUAUAAAGUAAACCAAUCAAAUUUCACAAUCCUUAAGUUACCAUAAAAAGUUGUUUCUUUCCCCUUCUUUUCCCUUUAGCCAUCUUCUCAUUAACCAAAUCCUCUCCCAAUUUUCCAUUUGUAUUGUGCAAAUUUAUGCAUGCAUAUUUUCACAUCCAAAUCCAUUCCAUUUCCAUUGUGAGCCCUUCCCAAAUGAAUGUUCAUAGUGAUUUUCGCCCCUAAUUCGAAUUGUCGAACAUUACAUCAUCGCGCCGCUUCUUUGGGUUCGCUUCAGGGUUUCCUCUUCUCAUCAUUGCCACAAAUUCAUCAUAGUUUAUCUUUCCAUCCUGCAAAUAAUUUACGAAUUCUUUUUUAUGUAAGUUAAACCCUUUUCUAUUAAGAAAAUGGAAUAUGUAUGCAUGUAUGUGUAUUGCUUACAUUGUCGUUGUCGACUUCAGAAAUGAUUUCCUUGAUGUCUUUGCCAUCAUGCAUACCAUACUCACGGAGAGCUUGUUCUAGCUCUUCUAUCGUGAUGUACCUAAAUGUAAACAUAUCGAUAGCAAUAAGUAUUGCGAUCAAUUACAAUAAAUAUCAAUAGAUCAUAAAACAGUGAUCGUAUCAUUGUGUUUUGACUAUCGUUACCCGCUAUUGUCUUUGUCGAAGUGUUGGAAGGCACGGUACAGAUGUUCUUCCCGAUCCAUUCGAUUCAUAUGCAUGGUGGCCGUUAUGAACUCUUCGUAAUCUAUAGUUCCGUUACUAUCCGCAUCCGCCUUUUGUUAUAAUAAAGAAAAAAGAAUGGAGGAGUUAGAAAAAAAAAACACCAUAUAUAUAGUUAGAAGGGGCUUGGCCGCUCAAAUAUUUGAAAAUUUUAACUAGGUCCCUUCAAAAUUUUAAAAAAUUCUAAAUAAACCUUCAAAUAGUUUAAAAAAUUUUAAUUAAACCCUCAAAUUUUUUGAAAAUUCUCAUUAAUCCUCUCAAAAUUGUAACAUUUUUAAUUAAACCCUAGUCCGUUUGGAAAUUCUUAUUAAACUCCUAAAAUUUUUGAAAUCUUUAAUUAGACCCCUGAAAAUUUUAAAAAUUUUAAGUAAGCCCCAAAACUCCGCUACCAUAUAAAGUUGCACUAUUGAAUAAUUGGAAACAGAACUUACUGCUUCCAUUAAUUGUUUGACUUCAUAUUCAGUUAGCUUCGUUCCUUGCUUCGCAAGCCCUUGCUUCAAUUCUUCGAGCGUUAUCGUGCCGCUGUUAUCGGAAUCUAUGGUCUUGAACAUCUCCUUCAACCCCUGGAUUUCUUCCUCCGAUAAACAUCCUGCAAUGACCUGCAACAACAACAAUUUCUUGGUUUCAUACAAUAAUAUGGACCUAUCUUAACCUUUUAACCAAUGGGGUGUGUUUUCAAUGAGGGGUUUUAAUUAAUUUUACCCUUAAAGCAACUUUCUUGAAAUUGUUCAUUGCUUUGAACUGUUUGAGCCUGCCUAAGACUGCAUUGUCAAGAGGAAUAUCAGGUGCUUCACCAUCCUCUUUAAUCCAUGGAUGAUCUGUUGGGUGGCCAUACAUUUACUCUGUCAGAUUUUUUUCGAUUGCGUCGUAUUUUUCACAGUCGAUAUUAUGUUCGGUUAGUAGAUAAUUAGGUUAAAAAAGGGCAUAUACUUACUUAGAACUUGUUGUGCUGUUAACCUUUGCUUGGGAUCCAAGUUUAACAUUUUGGUAACAAGAUCCUUUGCUUGAGGUGAAAUUGCAGGCCAUGGAUCACUUUUGAAAUCGAUUUCCCCACGUAAAAUUGCACUGAAGAUCCCAUUUUCGGAUUCUAUCAUAAAAUAAUUGUCUUAGUUUUCAGGGUUCAAUGUAUAUAUAUAUACACAGCAUAAUAUAUAUAUACACAGCAUAUUGAGUACCUAAUUGAGUUAGUAUCACGAGUAAAUCAAGUAUCAAUUUAAUUUGAGUGUUUUCUAUCUAUAUAUUACGUCCUUAAUUGAGUUGGUGUCAUGCAUCAAUCGGGCAUAAAUUCAAUUUGAAAAUGAUUAAAAUACUCUUUUAUAUACAAAGUAAAUUACAUUAUUACGAAGGUGUUUUCUAUACUAUAAAUUAAAUCUCUAACUGAGUUGGUGUCACGAUUCAAUCGAGCACUAACUCAAUCUAAAAAAGACUAAAAUACAUUUAUUCUAUACAAAGUAAGUUACAUUAUUACGAGGGUAUUUUUAUGUUUUUAAAAUAUUUUUAGGGGUGUAGGCAUAAAUUUUUCUUAUGGGGCUAGAAGUAAAUUAUAAAUAUUUGAGGGUGACAAAAUGAAAAUUUACCAUUAUACUAACUUAUAUUUUCUAAAGUGGUUCUAAAACAAUAGGAGGGGCAAGGCCACUGCCGACCCUUCUAGUUUCGCCAUGAAUUUUUUUCACCCACAUCAUGAAUGUGCCAUACUCUUAUAUAUAUAUAUAUAUGUAUGUGUAUGUAUAUGUAUAUGUUAUUUAGUUACCUGCCCAAAAGGGAGGAAAACCACUUAGAAGAAUGUACAACAUAACACCAAUACUCCAUAUAUCAGCUUCUGGUCCAUAUUUCCUCUUCAAUACUUCUGGUGCAAUAUAAUAUGCGCUACCAACAAUGUCCUUAAAUACAUCACCUGUUCCGAAGGCACCGAGUUAAAAGAAACCGAAAAUCAACCCCAACUUGAAAAUUUUAACAAGAUUAUGUUUUUACCUGGCUUGUAAAAGAGUGAUAGACCAAAAUCCGUAGCUUUGAGUGGUGAAUUUUCCUCUUGGUUCAACAACAAGAAAUUUUCAGGCUUGAGGUCCCUAUGGAAAACCCCCAUAGAAUGGCAAGUAUGGACGAUUUGAACAAUGAUUCUAAGCAAAGAAGCGGCCGCACGUUCACUGUAAUGGCCUUUAGCAAUGAUCCUAUCGAAAAGUUCACCGCCGGCACAUAGUUCCAUCACCAAAUGUACCGAAUGUUUGUCUUCGUAAGCUCCUUUGAGUUCCACGACAUUAGGUUGUCCCGUCAAAUGGUGCAUGAUUUGAACUUCUCUACGAACAUCUUCGAUAUCUUCUUUGUUAACGAGUUUCCUUUUAGCUAUCGUCUUGCACGCGAAUUGCUCGCCAGUUACCUUAUGGGUACACAAAUAGGUAACCCCAAAUUGUCCCCUACCCAAUUCUUUUCCAAUGGUGUAAGUGUUUCUCACAUCUUCCAUAGGACGGCAUAACACGGUUCCAAUUGGGUUAGGCUUGGGAGUAGGCUUAGGAGAAGCUUCCUCUGAUGGUGAAGCCGGCGGUUGUGUCGGUGAGGCUUUCGAGAAACUUUCGUUACGGGAACAAAUGCUAACGUUACCAUUGUUUUCGGGGGAGGCGACGCCUAAUUCGUUUGUCAGACUUUCGGGGUUGCCUCGAGAGCAACAAUUCCCCAUGUAUGGUGGGGAAGAUGAAGCACUCGAGACAAAAGAAAGGGUGAUGAGGGAAGGGAUUAAACUUAAACAAGAUAAAGAAUUAUUGAAAUUUUGAUUGGGGUUGAAAGGGAAAACAAGUAAAAAUAAGAAAAAAUAGUUUGUGAAAUUUAGUAAUACAACAGCUUGAUUUGGGGUGUACAAUUUUUUUAUGGUAUUGAUAGUGAGGGAUUUUAGGAUUUUUGACUAUGUUUGAAAAUCCAACAUGUUUUAUGGACAAGGUCCUGAGGAUUUUUAGGACAAAUAUUGAGAAAAAAGAAAACAUAUUUCUCAUCAUAUGAUCUGUGACUUCUAUUAAUGACGGAGCUAUUCUAGGGGUGUAUUCUCCGUUACGGUAGAAAAUGGGUUAAAAAUGUCUUUUCACCAUAGAUAUAAUAAAGAACAAUUGAUUUUUGCAGUUAAAAUUGCAUUUCUACCCAAACACAAAGUUGGGAUUUUGGGCAUAUUUACUUUUGGUUUUUGCGUUUAAAAAGUGAAAAAUACCCUUAUUUAUAUUAAUUAUUUAAAAAGUAUAUAAAAAACUAGAUUAAUUUAUAUUGUAUAUAAUUAUAUAUAAUUAUUUAAAUAUUAUUUAUUAUGUUUAAUUUUUUUAAAAUAUUUUAUAUAUCAUCAAAUUUACAAAUAAUUUAUGUUUAUUACUUAAAAUGUAUUUAAAAUUUAUAUUUCAUAUUUCAUAUAUCAUUAUAUUAAAUUAUUUAAAUAUCAUACAACUUAAUUAAUUUUUUACUUUCUACUAUCAUGUCUAAAAAUGACAUUUUAACUUUCAACCGUAAUUUUUGGCAACAAUAGAGAGCACUAAAGAGUAACAAAUACACUUUUUUGUAGCACAUUUCUACUAUACUUUUCAAAAGUAUUUUUUUUUUCUAAGAACACUUUUCAACUGCAAAAGCAAUGGAGAACCAACCUUAAGAGUUGGCUAUCGUCUUGCUAAUACAAUUUUCUCUGUACAUAAUUCUAUCGGUGAAUGUACCUGAUGUGCCCUUAGUGUAGUAUUUCAGUCUAUGUAUACUUGUAAUUUUUUCAAAUAGAUUGAUUAAUAAAACAAAAUCAUGAAUUACAUUUAUAUACUUUAUAUGAUUGUCCUUGUAGAGGCCCAAUUUAGCCCAGGCCUAUAAACCCAAAAUAAUAAUAAAAAAACAAAAAUAAGUAAAAGUCUAAAUAUUAUUAACAGUCCAUCAGUCUAAAUAUCAAAAACCAGCCCAAAACAUUUACAUUAACCCAAGUAGCCCAAAAUACCCCUGGCCCAAAUGGCCCAAAACUUAAACAAACUUCAACCAACUAGGAACCCUAGCCUCCAGCGUGCCUCCGUACGACCCCCUGCACGCCUCCGUACGCCACCCUAGCGCCUCCACGUUGCCUUUCGUACCUGCAAGAAAACAAAAGGGACAACAGCAAAACAGAGACAAAAAAGGGAGCAAAUUUUUGUAUUCUUUUUCUUUUUUCCUUUAUUUUUGCUUUUGGCUACAAAAGCCAAAGAAAGGGAAUGUAAUGAACACACGCACACAACACAACAGAAAAAAAAAUCAAUACAAAAAAAAAGCUUGAAAAGAAAAAAGUUUCCACAAGGUGAUUUUAAUCUCGUUUUUCUUUCGAUUUAGUUUCUGUUUUCUUUGAUUUAUCUACCGCAUAAAAAAAACGAAUAAAGGGGAGGGCAAACCAAAUACAAAGAAAUGAAUUUUGUUUAAAGAAAAAGAGAGAGGGGAAUUUGGGAUUAGGGAUCUUAAUAUAUAUAGAUGAAAAUUUGAAAUCAAAGUUGCAAUCAAAGUUGAAAAGAGAUCUCAAGGCUGAAAGAUCAUCCAUCCAGGCUUGAACACACCAGUUUGCGGAGGUGAAUCGGCAAUUGAAGUGGGGGAUUUGGGAUUAGGGAUUAGGGAUUUGCUUCAUUUUCUGAAAAAGAGGCAGAGUGCCAUUCAAACUUUUUUUUCCUUUCUUUCUUUUAGGUUUAGUUACUAAUAAAACAGCGCUGUUUAGCCUUUGGAAUCUGGGUGCCGAAACGGCACAGUUUUGUGUUAACUCUCGAACCGACCCAACCCCGGGGAAGGAUCUGCGCGUUUAGUUGUUAAAGGGAUAAUUGCGCAAUUCAUCCCCCCCUUUCGCGCUACCACAUGAUUGGGCCCAAUUCGAAUUCAUUUUAUUCUUAAUUCUUUC